GCCUAGCGGCAGCGGGGAGGGACGUAGGUAAUUUCCAAAUUAGUUUCCUAGAUGAGUUUCUUGAUAUAAAACAGACCCAAAUGAUUAUGUAUCAUUCUUUCCAUACAUAUUAAUUUGUAUGUUGUGGUGCUUCCUUCAUUGUGUUUAGGUACCAAGGCUGCAUUUGGAAUCCAAUGUUUUACUUACUCAGUGUGCAUGGACUCAUAUCAGUAUGCCGUUCAUUAUUGCAACAAGGAGUGCAAAAUACUUGGUUAUGACGGCCAGAAAGGCUACUGCAAGAACGAGAAUCGUGGUGUGUGUCCAGAAGACCGGACAUUAUGCCAAGGAAUGUCCUGAAGCCCAAAAUGGAAAUGGCAAUGGAAGCUCUGGGAAGAAGCCGAACGCUUUCAAUAGGGGACAGGUGAACCACGUAAAUGUGGAGGAAGUUGAAGCCCAGCCCGAUGUAGUAAUAGGUAAGUUUUUGGUUAAGUCAUUUACUGCACUCGUUCUUUUUGAUACUGGUGCAUCCCAUUCAUACAUAUCAAGGGGAUUUGUGGAUAAGUAUAAAAUGCCAACCCAAGCCCUUAGGUCAUCCAUGUUAGUAACCUCGCCUAGAACAGAGUAUAUGGCUAGUCUAUGGUGUGAUCGGUUACCAUUAAGGAUUGGUAACUAUGUUUUUCCCUCGGACCUAAUAGUAUUGGAAUCUCAAGGAUUGGAUGUGAUAUUAGGCAUGCAUUGGUUAUCGAAGUAUGAAGGGAACAUUGAAUGUGACAGUAAGGCAAUUUUGUUUACCACCCCAGAAGGAAGAAGGAUCAAGUAUGUAUCCCGGCAUGUGCCGAAAAGGACUCAAGUAAAUUGCCUAACAGGAGUUGUGCAAGAGGAAGUACCAGUAGUGAAGGAUUUCCCUGAUGUUUUUCCAGAAGAGUUGCCAGGCAUGCCACCGGAUAGAGAUAUUGAGUUUUUGAUUGAGCUUUUGCCAGGCAUAGGGCCAAUAUCUAAGAGACCAUAUAGGAUGCCCGCAAAGAAUUUGGUGGAGAUUAAGAAGCAGAUUAAGGAGUUACUGGAUAAAGGUUAUAUUCGCCCAAGUUCUUCACCUUGGGGAUCGCCAGUACUUCUAGUGGAGAAGAAGCAUGGAUCGUGAAGGAUGGUCGUUGAUUAUCGAGGAUUGAAUGAAGUAACCAUCAAGAAAAAGUACCCACUACCGAAGAUCAAUGAUUUGUUUGAUCGGUUGCAAGGAGCUAAGGUAUUUUCCAAGAUCGACCUGCGAUCAGGAUACCAUCAGUUGAAGAUUCAAGAACAGGAUAUUCCUAAAGCGACUUUUACCACCAGGUAUGGGCUAUACGAGUAUACCAUUAUGUCAUUUGGUCUGACUAACGCACCUGCAUAUUUUAUGAACAUGAUGAACAAAGUGUUUAUGGAGUUUUUUGAUAAGUUCGUCAUAGUGUUCAUUGAUGAUAUCCUGGUUUACUCGAAGAAUGAAGAGGAGCAUAAGGAGCAUUUGCGUUUGGUACUUGGUAAGCUCAAAGAACAUCAGUUAUAUGCCAAGUUUAGCAAAUGUGAGUUUUGGUUGAAGGAAGUUGGAUUUCUCGGACAUGUUAUAUCUGGAGAAGGUAUAGCAGUGGAUCCCACCAAGGUUGACACUGUGACAAAUUGGGAAGCUCCAACAACAGUUGGAGAGAUCCGGAGUUUUCUUGGACAUGGAGGAUACUAUCGGAGAUUUAUUGAAAAUUUCUCUCAGAUUGCAAAACCUAUAACGGAGUUGCUGAAGAAGGAUACCAAGUUCAUAUGGACUGAGGAAUGUGAGGCUAGUUUCCAGGAGUUGAAGAAACGUUUGGUUACAUCACCAGUGUUGAUUUUGCCAGAUCAGACCAAGGAUUAUGAGGUGUAUUGCGACGCUUCACGUCGAGGACAUGGAGCAGUGCUUAUACAGGAAGGAAGAGUUGUCUCAUAUGCCUCACGACAUCUCAAGCCUCAUGAGUUGAAUUAUGCUAUGCAUGAUUUGGAGUUAGCAGCCGUAGUGCAUGCAUUGAAGACUUGGAGAUAUCUUCUCAUUGGAAACCAUUGUGAGGUGUACACGGACCACAAGAGUUUGAAGUACAUUUUCACGCAGAAGGAGUUGAAUCUCAGACAAAGGAGAUGGUUGGAACUCAUCAAGGAUUAUGAUAUGAGAUUGCAUUAUCACCCUGGAAAGGCUAACGUAGUAUCUGACGCGUUGAGCCGUAAAAUUCAUGUCAACACCUUAAUGACAUGAGAUUUACCAAGGGAGUUAGCUGAAAAUCAUCGUGAGCUAUGUUUGGAAAUAGUUCCGAGAGGCUAUGUAGCAGCAUUGGAGAUUCAGUCUACGUUGAUGGAUAAGAUCAGAGAAGCCCAGAAGACUGACAAGGAGAUUGCCUCUAUUAAGGAGAAAAUGAGCAAAGGAAAAGAUAAAGGAUUUCGUGAUGAUGAGCACGAUACCUUAUGGUUUGAAGACCGUGUUUCACCUAGGGAAUACCAAGAUGUAUUUGGAUUUGAGGAUAUUUUCUGGUGGACCGGAAUGAAGAAGUAUAUUGCGGAGCAUGUAGCAGUUUGUGAUGUAUGUCAGAGAGUAAAGGCGGAACAUCAAAAGCCAACAGGAUUGCUACAACCAUUGCCGAUACCCGAAUGGAAGUGGGAUAAGUUAGGCAUGGAUUUUAUCACCGGAUUGCCCAGAAAUCGUUCAGGCUAUGACUCGAUAUGGGUUGUAGUCGACCGUUUGACAAAGGUAGCUCUUUCAUCCUAGUGAAGACUACCUAUACCAGUGCAAAGUUGGCAAAGAUAUAAAUGACCAGAAUCGUAUGUCUGCAUGGAGUUCCAAGGAGCAUUGUAUAAGAUAGAGGAACCCAGUUUACCUCAAAGUUCUGGAAUCAGUUGCAUGAAACCCUGGGUACCAGGCUAGAAUUCAAUACAACUUUCCAUCCGCAGAUAGAUGGACAGACCGAGAGAGUCAAUCAGAUUUUGGAGGAUAUGCUGAGAGCUUGUGCGCUAGAUUACGGAUCUAGUUGGGACGAGAAUUUGUCAUACGCAGAGUUCUCCUAUAACAACAGUUAUCAAUCCAGUUUGAAGAUGGCCCCUUUCGAAGCUCUGUACGGAAGGAGGUGCAGGACCCCAUUGUCGUGGGAUGAAGUUGGAGACCGCUAGUUGUUUGGACUGGAUCUGAUUAAGGAGUCUGAACAGAAAGUAAAAUUGAUUCAUGAUAGAAUCAAGGUAGCCCAGUCUAGGCAGAAGAGCUACGCACACUCAAAACGCAAGGAAACAGUUUACGAAGUCGGAGACCGAGUUUAUCUUCGAGUAUCUCCACUUCGAGGAGUUAAGUGCUUUGGAGUUAAGGGAAAGUUAGCGCCCCAUUUUGCAGGACCAUACAAGGUUUUGGAACGUAUGGGAGAAGUAGCUUAUAUGUUGGAAUUGCCCGAAGGAUUGUCAGGAAUUCAUGACGUGUUCCACGUUUCCUAGUUGAAGAAGUGCCACACAGAGAUGGCUGACAUACCGCUGAGAGACACAGUGCCGCUGGAAGCGGUUCAGUUGGACAGUGAUUUGACUAGUGGGGAUACUCGAGUAUCUUAACUUUGCUGAGGAGAAACCAGUCAAGAUUCUUGAGUAUGCCAGCCGAGUCACCCGCAGCAAAGUUAUCAAGUUUUGCAAAGUUCAGUGGAGCCACCACACGGAAGAUGAAGCUACCUAGGAACGAGAGGAAGAACUGUUGAAAGACCUCCCUCACCUAUUUUCUAGCUAACCCGAAUCUCAAGGGCGAGAUUCAUCUUAAGGGGGGUAGGUUUGUAACAUCCCAAAUUUUCAAUUUGGAAUGUUAUACAAUAGAUCAUCAUUGCAUAUCAUAUUUUAUCGCAUUUGGUUGAUCCUAGAAAUUUCACGCAACUCAAGGACCCUCGGAGAGAGUUGGGUAUUUCAUUAUUUUCAUAUUUGAGUUUUCUCAAAUUUUGAAAAUAGGAUAAUUUGAUUUUAUUUAUUUUAUCUUCAAUUAUUUCUACUAUAAAAAAAUUAUGAGAGUGGGAAUAAAAUGACUUUCCCAAAAUAUAGAAAUAUUGGGGAUUUAAUAAAAAAAUCAAAUCAGAUUUUAUUUUGCUUUUAUUUGCUAUUUUAUUUGAAUUUAGGAAAAAUUGCACGUUUUCAAAAAUUGCAUUUAGGGCCAAGAAAAUGUUCAUCCUGUUCUAAAUAUUUUAUUUAGAGGGUAAAAAUUUGUUUUGGCAUUUUUAGAAGUUUAUUUAUUUUUCUAGAAUUUUUUUUAGUCGCAGCAAAAUUGUUUAAAAAAAGAGACCCCGUGCCCAACUUGGCCAAGGGCCCAGCCGAGCAGGCCGGCCCUGCCAGCCGUAGCCGCCUCCCGCCGAGUCGGGACAGGAGGCCCGACCGCCGCCAUCGGCCGAGUCUGGGGAGGACCCGCCUCCAGGCCGACCCCUUCCCCAAGUCGCCGCCCCCCCUUUAUAACCCCGCCGCCGCCCGCCUGCAGCCCCACACCCGCGCCGUAGCCGCCACCCCGGCGCCGCGUCAGAGCUACCGCCCCGCACCACCCGCCGCCCGCCGGAGCCCCGAGUCGAGGUAGCCGCUGCCCCGGUUUUUUUUGGAAAAAGCCGUUUCGGUUUUUUUUUGAAAACCCUAGUUUUUGUUUUUUUAAUAGAUCGGCUUUUCUCUGGUUUAUCUUUUUAGCGAGCGUUCGCUCGUACGUUCGUUUUAAUGAACGCGUUCUUCGUUUAGUUCCUGUUAACGAACGUCCGUUCUAUAACCUGUUCGUCGUUUUUCUUUUUCUCGGAUUAAAUCCGCGAUUUUCUGAUCGCGAUUUCUGAUCCGAUGUUUGUUUUAGUUUAGGUUUUUGCUCGUUUGUCAGAAUCAGGCGAUUCAAGCACCUGGAGUUUCGUCUCGAAGCCCUCUUUCCGUUUAACCAACUCAAACAAGUUUUUUCCUCAGUAAAAUUUGACCUAGAUUCAAAAUAGUAAACAAAGCCUGUUUCUUUUGCCGUUUGUCUUUCGUUGCUUCAUUCGAUUUGAUUCUUUUUGCCGACCGGAGUUCUUAAAUUGAACUAUCUGGUUAGAUCUCUUAUUCGAGUUUUACUUGUGCAUUAGAUGAGUACUUAUUGUAUGCUUGUUUGUUUGCGAUGGAUUACCCGGAGUGCGCCGCUUGUUACUUCGAAUCGCUAGGUUUUGCGGAUCAUCAGCAAAGCAAGUAACACUUUGAUCAUACCUUCCUACUACCCAGUUUUAUUGCAUUAGAUCAAUCCUCACACAUUGCAUUGACUAGGAUCUAAUUAAAUUGUGUGUUUGGGAAGUAGAUGAGGUAGUACAUAUUACCUGUUAUUAUCAAACCUUUGGGAGUUACUUCUACGUUUGCUUAUUUUGCCAUGCUAUGCCAGUAGACGUGGUUUGGGUGAGUGAAAUCCAUGACAGAUGUGAGUUUGUUAAAUUAAGGGUUUAUCUAAGGUGGCAACUUAAAUACACAUCUGGGUGGAUUGAGGCACCUGGGUAUUCCAGCGAUUGCUUGUUUUUCUUUGGACCGCCACCCAGGCUCAAAGGGAUCAUGAGAUUAUUCAUGCUAGAAACUUCCGUGUGCAGCCACAAGCUACUAUGGGCUCUAGCAUAGUUGACUAAGUCGUGCGAACUCUUACAGUGGUAGACUAGAAGAUGUAGGGGAUGUAGGUUGUACGGUCUACCCAUCGUAAGGUGCUAGCGCUUCUAAAAGACUAUGUCUUGGUCAUCCGCUUCUCAAACACCAUGCAGUGCGAGAAAACCAAUGGAGGAGAUCGAGUCUUGUGGGGAAAAGUGCGCAAACCUCUGCAGAGUGUAUAAACUAAUCAUGGUUAGCCGUGUCCUCGGUUAUGGACAUCCUGAGUAUCUAGUACUUGGAUUAUCAUGUGAAUCUCAUCAUGCUACUCUAAUUAAUUUGUUGGUUCUUAAUGAUGAUGCUUAAUUCGGAUUAAGAAUGUUGUCAACCAUUCGCAAUGUUUAACAACUACCAUGAUAGUUAAAUAAAAUUUAUUUCUUUGCAGUAGGGAAAAAUUGGCUUUACGCAAAACUGUAACCAUAGAGCUUUCCACCAGCCAAAUAUGCAUAUAGUAUAGCCUAUUUUCUUUCUUUGCUCUCUAUGUGUUACAUUGCCAGCAUAUUCCAUGUGCUGACCCAUUUCGGGCCGCAACGUUCAUGUUCCAGACUUUUUAGACGACGAGUAAGGUGCUUUUAGGUCAUGGUUCUAUACUCAGUGAUGCCGUUGGAGUUGAUCGACUCACUUAUCUUUCAAGCCUUCCACUGUUAUCGUUAUAUUAGAUGACCUUAAGCCAUUAUUAUUGUAAUAAGUUCUCUUUUGAGACUCUCGAUGUAAUAAGUGUGUGAUUGCUACUCUGUUAUAAAUCCUUCAAGUAAUGUGUGGUGUCAGCAUUACUGAUCCAGGGAUGACAUAUGAGCACAGAGAUUGGACCGUUUGAGGUUUGAUCGCUACAAUUACACCAGCGUGAAGCUGAAGCGCCAUGUACGAAUAUUGCAAAGGUUUUUGGCAUAAUAUCAUUCACCUUACAACUAAGUUUCUUUGGAAAAUUUUAUCCACAAGGGCUAUAGAGUCUAUUGAAAUUGACACUAUGGGGUUAGGUAUCUCUAACAACAUUUUCUCUAAAAGUAUUUUCAACACCCAAGUCUUGUGAGACUUAAUGUUGUGCAUGGUUAUUCUUUGUUAACAUAUCACUUUAUUUUAAUAGCCUGAUUUUCAUGGAUUACUUCAGAAAGUUACAAAUACAUAUUUUUUUCUCUAAGUUUUGGAAAGUGGUUACUCCGGUGCCCUGAGCCAUUCAAUGUUCGUAUUAUUAUAUGAAAUUUAAUGUGCAUGGAAACGACCUCUAAAAUGCAACUUUGGCCCAUAAUAUUUUUGGUAUGUAAGGAUACAAGUCAAGGUGGCAAUUAGAUUGUACCAAAACUAGGAAGAAACCAUUAAUACGAAAAAUGAUAAAGGGGCAAGAAUCAUUGUUCAUUCGCUCUUCUUUAUAAACACCAGUGCUAGAAAUAUACGUUCAGAGAAGCACAUCAUUAAGAGAAAAUAAGUAAUAGCAAGGCAGUCUUGAUGAUGGUACUUAUCAACAACAAGACACGCAUUCUCUUUUGUGUUGCUCUUUUGUUGACGUGUACCACUUUUCUGUGUGGCCUAGCGGCAGCGGGGAGGGACGUAGCUAAUUUCCAAAUUAGUUUCCUAGAUGAGUUUCUUUAUACAAAACUGAUCCAAAUGAUUAUGUAUCAUUGUUUCCAUACAUAUUAAUUUAUAUGUUGUGGUGCUUCCUUCAUUGUGUUUAGGUACCAAGGCUGCAUUUGGAAUCCAAUGUUUUACUUACUUAGUGUGCAUGGACUCAUAUGAGUAUGCCGUUGAUUACUGCAACAAGAAGUGCAAAAUACUUGGUUAUGACGGCCAGAAAGGCUACUGAAAGAAGGAGAAUCGUGGCGUGUGUUGUUGUGCCUAAAGUUAAAGACAUGUUAUAUUGUCAUUUUGCAGAAAAUCAUUGCAUGUAUUUGCUUCUCAGAAUACUAAUUUAUAUGGAUUAUACGAUAAUUUCAAUAACAUAUACUGGUAGUUGCUUUCGAAGACCAACUUGACUAGACGAUCAACUCUUCAGGUCAUAUGAAUCAACAAUGAGCCAGCUAAAAACUGGAAGUACUGAUAACUUAAAAAAUUAAAUUGGGGAGUGAAUUAAUGGAAAUAUAUGAGAAAUACAUUGGGUAUAUGAAAAUUUGUCAUUCAACGAUGCUAGUUAAUACCAACUGAUGGAUGUACAACUCAAAAAAAAGUCCAUAUUUGAUCCCUGAACUAUCACAAAUGUCUAAAAACCAACCCCAAACUUUGAAAAAAUCUAUCUUGCAAUUCUAAAUUGUCAAAGUCGAUCAACUUUCAACUUUUCCUCUCCUCAAACCGGUAUUUGGUGCGUUGAAGUGGUUUGGAACAAUUGAUCUCCUAGUCGGCUGCCAUGUCACUUAAUAUUUUUCCUGAAUAUGUAUUUUAUUGCAUGUUGUAAUAUGUUUGGCGGCAUCGCCGUAUAGUUGAGAAAUAACCAUAUAAUAGCAAUGGGCAUAUAACGGCUACAACUCUUAUAUCCGAAAGAUAUAGGAUCCGGGCUACCAUACUAAACUUUUCUGUCACUAGUGAUCAGAAUAGUACUUCAUGGUCUACCUGCCGUUAGCCUCUCUCUGACUCACUCGAUGUGAUCCUAGGUACCUACAAGGACGAAGAAUGUAGAUGAGACAAGAGACAUCCAUGAAGCAAUUUUAUGUUACACAUACGGGACAAAUUCAAAGUACUUCUAUAUAUCCCUCCAAUAAAUACAUAGGGUUGUAGGGCUAUGCCUCAACCCAUGAUGAUACCUUAGAUAUGGAGAACAGAUCACAAGUACAAUCCAUCAAACAACACAUCAUGAAUAUUGAUUUAUAAUAUGUCUUACAAUAAUUGCCGGAUGUGAUAGACGAUUACAAAGUAUGGCUAGUUGGAUUAGUGCUUGGUGGGUGGAGAUGGUGGCGGCUAUGGAAAUGAGAUGGGAAAUGGCGGUGGCUAGGGUUAAUUUGGACGAUGAAGAUUGAGGUCUGGGCGAUGCUCUGUUGCUAUUAUGGGAUUGAGCCCUUCAUGGUAGAUCGGAUAGCUCAUACGAGCGUGUACGAUCGUGUGGAACAUCGUCUUGCUUUGUUCUUCCGGGAGUGUCUCCCGCUUGAUCUCCUCUAUAUCGUCUUUACUCCCUUCCAUGUAUUGGCUUGAUUUCCUCCAUAUUUAGCCCAUUUCCUACAGAAAUAAACUAAAGAUUGGACAUUUCGAAUCCUUUGCAUUGGUUAGUCGUUUGUAGUAAUAUCAGAGCGAAUAUCUUGGUUUUUAAGAAAUAUAUUGGUUUAUGCUCAUGUAUCUUGAGUGCAAGAACAACAAUCGUCAACUCCAUCAAGCUUAGACUUGAUCAUCCUCGACCAACAUAGAGGCAAAUCCAAAACGUAAGGAACUCAGUUGUUUACACCAAAUAAAUGAGUAGGUUUUGCUUCACUUAUGAUCAGUGCACCUAGAUAACCCUACACUUCUUGACUUCUAAACUUAGUAUAGGUAUAGCGGUGACAUGGUUAUUAUGCAAGUCUUAUUGAAGCAAAGAUAAUCAACACAAAGCUCUUGCUCAACUAGACAAAAUAACAAAGUAACACUUGAUUCUAUUUUUUCUACUGAACACUUGCUUGCCAGGAAUGCACGAAGGUGAUUGCAUUUCUGGAGCAAUGAAAGCAUGUAUUAGGGAGUUAAAGUUAUGCAAAGACACAUCAUUCUAGAGUAGCUCUAACUCACCCACAAGUGUCUCAUCAUCAAGGCUCUCAUGAACUUUAUUUAAAUUAUUGCCUGCUGAAUCUUUUGUUGUCUGGUGAUGGGAUGCCAAAGAAAGGAUCAAAAAUAAGGUUUUGUUGUGCUUUAAGUUUGAGUAAUAUGAACUAAUAUGUUGCUACUACGUACCGUAACAUACUCAUAUCCGAAAUUGGAGUCGAAAUUCUAGUGGGUCGUUCAUUGUCCAGUGGAGUACUCAGCAUUACAUCAAGAAAGGUGACAUUCACAUUUACAUGCCUACACGUGCAUGGAGUAGUAAGACCAUUACACCAGCAUGAAGCUGAAGCGCCAUGUACAAAUAUAGAAAAGGUUUUUGGCAUAAUAUCAUUCACCUCACAACUAAUUUUCUUUGGAAAAUUUUAUCCACAAGGGCUAUAGAGUCUAUUAAAAUGGACACUAUGGGGUUAGGUAUCUCUGACAACAUCUUCUCUAAAAGUUUUUUCAACACCCAAGUCUUGUGAGACUUUCUGUUGUGCAUGGCUAUUCUUCGUUAACAUAUCACUUUAUUUUAACAGCCUAAUUUUCAUGGAUUACUUCAGAAAGUUACAAAUACAUUUUUCUCUCUAAGUUUUGGAAAGUGGUUGCUCCGGUGCCCUGAGCCAUUCAAUGUUUGUAUUAUUACUAGCAAAAAUGCCCGCGCAUUGCACCGGGAGAGAAAAACACAUGCAUUUAGAUCCAUCACCGCCAAUCAUAAGUUGACUGCCCUCCGAAACAUGACAACUCUUAGAAAGCCAUUAUAUGGUGCACGGCUACCACGAACCAAGAUACAGUAACAACCCAUCUAAAAAAUAUACAGUAGCAACUGGAACCUCAUCACAUGAUCACAUACGAUGCGAACAGACCAUGCAAUGCAACAAACAGGGGAGCCAUUUGCAUUCAAAUAGCCUCAUAUACUCAAAUAAUUUUCCCUUUAUGUAGAAAGUCACUAUACAGUUGUCAUAGUAAAAGCAAAAGGGAAUAAAUAACCUGAUAUGAAACCAACGCCUAGCUAGCAAAUAUAAGACUUACAUGAUUUCGAAUUAUAUGACAAACUCAUCAUAUAUAGAAUCAAAGUUGAACUAUGAUAUAUAGUAGAUGAGCCCGAGAUGGGGCCAUGCAUGCACACACGAUUAAGAAUAUCAACUUCUGCUAACAUGAGGUCAGAACUAAUGGCCUCACAAAAGAUGAUUAGUUGAUCAGAACAUAGUUCUCCAAAAUAUUCACCUUUGAAAGUAGCUGCUGCAACCGGAUUCGAUUGUCCAUGCAUGGGUAGAUAAUCUUAUGAGCCUGAUAUUGACCAGAUCGAUAUGAGGAUUGAUGGAGACUUCGUCCAUGGCAACCAAUGGGACAAUUUGUGAAAUCAGAUUGUGUUGCAUAGUCAGGGGGUCCGUGAUGGCGCACUUCAUGGAGGCGAGGACGCAUGGGAGACAGAUGCAUGGCAUGUGACUCUAUGAUUGUGAAUUCUGCAGGGAGUGUUGGCUAUUGGGGUGCGCAGGACGGCAACCACGACGGUGUCAGCUGCGGCUGCUGCUCGUGGUCAGGGAGGGAAGCAACACGGCAUCGGCGGCGACUGCUCGUGGUCGCGCAAGACGGCAACCACGACGGCGGCGGCGGCGGCUGUUCGUGCUCGCGCAGCGAAGCAACAUGGCGUCGGUGGCGACUGCUCGAGGUAACGCAGGGAAGGAGCGCCUGGGACAGGGGGAACUCGAAUCUAUGAGAGGAGAGGAGAUGGGUUAAUUAGCCUUGGCUGGUUUUCUCCCGAUUUAUGUAGCUGACUUUUUUUAGCAUGGCGUGCGCCUGUGGAGGCUGGUUCCUGUUGUUUUUUUAUCUGACGGUGAUACACAUAGUAAACUUAUCUUAUUUGGUGACUGAUUCCUGAGCCGGAUAUAGACGCAUGGUGAGUUGCAACACUUCGACGGCUUAUAGGGAAAGAUUGAUUGUGGGUUAAUUCUCUAAGAUAAUAGGGACUUUUUUGCAAAAAUGUCACGACGGUGAACCCGGAUACUCAAUCCGUGCUUUAUUAUUAGGGAGAGAUAUGAAAUUUAAUGUGCAUGGAAACGACCUCUAAAAUGUAACGUUGGCCCAUAAUAUUUUUGUUAUGUAAGGAUACAAGUCAAUAUGGCCAUUAGAUUAUACCAAAACUAGGAAGAAACCAUUAAUACGAAAAAUGAUAAAGGGGCAAGAAUCAUUGUGCAUUCGCUCCUCUUUAUAAAUACUGGUGCUAGAAAGAUACAUUCAGAGAAGGACAACUUCAAGAGAAAAUAAACACCGGUGCUGGAAAGAUACGUUCAGAGAAGGACAACAUCAAGAGAAAAUAAGUAAUAGCAAGGCAGUCUUGAUGAUGGCACUUAUCAAGAACAAGGCACGCAUUCUAUUUUGUGUUGCUCUUUUGUUGACGUGUACCACUUUUCUGUGUGGCCUAGCGGCAGCGGGGAGGGAUGUAGGUAAUUUCCAAAUUAGUUUCCUAGAUGAGUUUCUUGAUAUAAAACAGACCCAAAUGAUUAUGUAUCAUUCUUUCCAUACAUAUUAAUUUGUAUGUUGUGGUGCUUCCUUCAUUGUGUUUAGGUACCAAGGCUGCAUUUGGAAUCCAAUGUUUUACUUACUCAGUGUGCAUGGACUCAUAUCAGUAUGCCGUUGAUUACUGCAACAAGGAGUGCAAAAUACUUGGUUAUGACGGCCAGAAAGGCUACUGCAAGAUGGAGAAUCAUGGCGUGUGUUGUUGUGCCUAAAGUUAAAGACAUGUUAUAUUGUCAUUUUGUAGAAAAUCAUUGCAUGUAUUUGCUUGUCAGAAUACUAAUUUAUAUGGAUUAUACGAGAAUUUCAAUAACAUACACUGGUAGUUGCUUGCGAAGACCAACUUCUCUAGCCGAUCAACUCUUCAGGUCGUAUGAAUCAACAAUGAGCCAAAUAAAAAGUGGAAGUACUGAUAACUUAAAAUUUUAAAUUAGGGAGUGAAUUAAUGGAAAUAUAUGAGAAAUACAUUGGGUAUAUGAAAAUUUGUCAUUCAACGAUGCUAGUUAAUACCAACUGAUGGAUGUACAACUCAAAAAAAGUCCAUAUUUGAACCCUGGACUAUCACAAAUGUCUAAGAACCAACCCCAACCUUUGAAACAAUCUAUCUUGCAAUUCUAUAUUGUCAAAGUCGAUCAACUCUCAACUUUUCCCCUCCUCAAACCGGUAUUUGGUGCAUUGAAGUGGUUUGGAACAAUUGAUCGCCUAGUCGGCUGCCAUGUCACUUAAUAUUUUUCUGAAUAUGUAUUUUAUUGCAUGUUGUAAUCUGUUUGGCGGGAUCGACCCUAUAGUUGAGAAAUAAUCCGAUAAUUUCAAUGGGCAUUUAAUGGCUACAACUCUUAUAUCCCAAAGAUAUAGGAUCCGGGCUACCGUACUAAACUUUUCUGUCACUAGUGUUUAGAAUAGCACUUCAUGGUCUACCUGCUGUUAGCCUCUCUCUGACUCACUCUCUAUGAUCCUAGGUACCUGCAAGGACAAAGAAUGUAGAUGAGAUAAGAGACAUCCAUGAAGCAAUUUUAUGUUACACAUACGGGACAAAUUCAAAGUACUUUCAUAAAUCCCUCCAAUAAAUACAUAGGGUUGUAGGGCUAUGCCUCAACGCAUGACGAUACCUUAGAUAUGGAGAACAGAUCACAAGUACAAUCCAUCAAAGAACACAUCAUGAAUAUUGAUUAAUAAUAUGUCUUACAAUAAUUGUCGGAUGUGAUAUAUGAUUACAAAGUAUGGCUAGUUGGAUGAGUGCUUGGUGGGUGGAGAUGGUGGUUGUCGGUGUCAAAACCGGCGGAUCUUGGGUAUGGGGUCCCGAACUGUGCGUCUAGGCCAGAUGGUAAUAGGAGGCAGGGAACACGAUGUUUUACCCAGGUUUGGGCCCUCCUGAUGGCGGUAAAACCCUACGUACUUCUUGAUUAAUAUUGUUGAUAUGGGUAGUACAAGAGUAGAUCUACCACGAGAUCAGAGAGGCUAAACCCUAGAAGCUAGCCUAUGGUAUGAUUGUAUGUUGUGGUUGUUGUCCUAUGGACUAAGACCCUUCGGUUUAUAUAGACACCGGAGAGGGUUAGGGUUACACAAGGUCGGUUACAAAGGAGGAGAUAUCCAUAUCCGUACUGCCUAGCUUGCCUUCCACGCUAAGUAGAGUCCCAUCCGGACACGAGACGAAGUCUUCAAUCUUGUAUCUUCAUAGUCUAACAGUCCGGCCAAUGGAUAUAGUCCGGCUGUCCAGAGACCCCCUAAUCCAGGACUCCCUCAGUAGCCCCUGAACCAGGCUUCAAUGACGAUGAGUCCGGCAUGCAGUGUUGUCUUCGGCAUUGCAAGGCGGGUUCCUUCUCCGAAUACAUCAUAGAAGAAUUUGAAUACGAGGACAGUGUCCGACCUUGAAAAAUUAGUUCCACAUUCCACCGUAGAGAGAAUAAUAUUUUCGCAGAUCUAAUUUGCUGGCUUGUUUUGGCAGCAUGACGUUACAUCAUGGCCCAGUGAUUAUUCGAACUGUUUCUUUUAACCAGCCCCGCGCAUAAUGCGAGGCAGUUUUUUGACACGUCUUGUCAAAGCAGAGAUUGUGUCCCCUUAUUACGGGAUUCUCAUCAAUACAGGCGUGGGUAACCCAACCACACCAUCAAUUGCGGUGCUUGGGGGAUAAGCGAGUUUUACCAGGCAAGUGGGGAAGCUUAGUUUCGUCCGCCCAUAUAAAGGGAUAAGGAUUCACCUUUCUAUCCACGCCUUCUUCCUCCCUUACCCAUCCGUUUUCGCACACUCGAGCUCUAGUGCCCAAGUCCGCACUUCCCACCUCGACCUUCUCCAAUCAUGUCCGGAGCGGGAGGUAAGUGGAUGGUAUCCUCCGUCAUGGAGGGAGACAUCAAGAAACUGAGGAGGGCCAUAUACCAGCCCGACGACAUCGCGCACCGGCUCCCUGAUGAGGGGCAGCUCAUCCCCACCCCCAGGCCCCAUGAGAGGGUGGUAUUCCUCACCCAUUUCCUCCGCGGACUGGGUGUCCCUCUCCAUCCCUUCAUCCGGGGGCUGAUGUUUUAUUAUGGCCUGGAUUUCCACGAUCUAGCCUGGAACUUCAUCCUCAACAUCUCGGCGUUUAUCGUCGUGUGCGAGGCCUUCCUCCACAUCAAGCCCCACUUCAGCUUAUGGCUGAAGACCUUCAAUGUGAAGCCGAAGGUGGUGGGUGGCCGCCAGGCGGAGUGCGGAGGCGCCAUGGUGGGUAAGAUGCCAAACAUAACAUGGCUCGAAGGCUCCUUUGUGGAAACCAUAAAGGGGUGGCAAUCAGGGUGGUUCUAUAUCACCGAGCCGCAUGAGCCCACAUGGGUAGCGGCCCCCGAGUUCCGAUCUGGCAUCCCCAUGCGACUCACCUCCUGGAAAGAGAAGGGCCUGUCCUGGGGUAGUUCAAAAGAGCUGACCGGACUCCAAACAUGUAUUCAAAACAUGGUGGACAAGAAGCUCAAGCUUGUCAACAUAGUCCAGGUUAUGCUCAUCCGCCGGAUACUCCCAUGCCAACAAUGGGAGUUCACCUUGUGGGAGUUCAAUCCGGCACAACACCGAAGUCUGAACAGGCUCUUUGACACGACUCAUGAAGACGCCUGGAGGGUGUUGUUCAAAAGUGCCGAGGUCCGUCCCCCUAUUACUGAGGAUCGCGGAUUCAGCGCGAAGCGCCAAGCCAGUGCGGUAAGCUGCUUUACCUUUCACAUGAUACUUAUUUUUUAUAUAGAUUGACUCCAUGCGGGAUCUAAACUCCCGUACCUUUGACAGGACUGGCAGAAGAUGAACGGGCAGAUCGACUAUCCGUCUCCUUUGCCCGAAGGCCCCGCAGACGCUCUUCUGGCGAAGAUGCUGACUCCGGCCCCUUAUAAGGUGCUGGAGAAGACCAAGAAGGCCAAGGGGACCCGAAAGAGUUCCCGACGCCAGGCGUCGUCGGAGUUACCGUCCGAUGACUCUACGGCGCACUCUUCCCCUAAAGACGAGGAAGAGGAAUAAGAAGAUGCUCCCCCACCGACUGGGGGGGACAAGAAAAGGAAGGCCGCCCCAACCGGGGAGGCCGGAGGGUCCAAGAAGGGAAGGACUCUCCUUCCGGACAGUUCCACCGCCGCCGACGAAGGCGAAGGCGAGUGGUUUCCCGGGGUCAAGUCCCCGGGGAGAUCGUAAGUAUUCGGAUACCAAAGUAACUCCUAAGAUUCAUUUGUCGCACUGCUUUCCCUAACGCCGACCGCAAUUAUGCAGGCCGCCACGAGCCAGUAUCGAUGUAUCAUCGGACGGCUCCUUGGGCUUGUCGGACAUGGAUAGCGAUCCAGUCCCGACCGCCACCUCCCCUCAUCCAGCUAACAACGCCGAGGUGCUGUCUCAAGAGGCACCGGAUCGAGGGGAGACAGUCCUGGAGGCGCCUCAAGGCGACCUUCCGGACUCCAAGAGCUACGGGGACGGGGCCCCUGAGAGCUCCGAGUUCGGCCCUCAGCCGAACACCGUGCCAGACCCUCUAGUGGUUCCGGACUCGUGCAGGCGGCCUCCUUCUAAGAGGGGCAAAACGCCUGUGCCGGUGACCUCUGUCCAUCCAGAGGCACCGGAUAAUCUACUGGAAGCGCUUCGUUGUGCUUCCAUCGACGAGGAGCACUGCACUAUCAUGAGUGCGGUGAUCCAGAAGGUUCAGUCCGCCAAGAGCGGACUGACUGAAGCCUGUGCCAGCCUUCUAAUAGGCUUUGAGGUAAGUGUUUUAAAAUGUAGUAGAACUAUUACCGCAUAGGCAGUAGCCCCUGAUGCUUUAUUCGGUGUUCAUAAAGAAAAGCCGAACAGAGGAUCAAAUAAUAUCGCAGGAGUCUAAUAUAAUUAUGUCAAUAUGCAUAUGCAGGCUUCACUGCUAGCAUCCGCCGCACUAACUGCGGAGGUCGCCGUACUGAAGCAGGACCUCGAGGGGUCCAAGAAAGAGCUCGGCUUUGCCAGGAGGCAGCUCGAGGAGAACAAGGGUAAGUAAUACCCUGUCUACAGAUAUGUAUAUAUAAAAAAGGACGCGAUUGCAAAAUGACAGGAUCAUUGUAUGUUUGCCAGGGGCCACGACCGAGGUGGAGACCCUGAAGCAAGCGCUGACCAAGGCCGAAGGUACAGCGGCCAAGGAAUGCACCGAGCGAGAGAAGCAAGAGGCUCGGGUGGGCGAGGUGCAGCAAGAGCUCUAGGCUCUUGUGGCGAAGCAUGAGGCGUUGGAGCUUGACUCCAAGACGCGGGAGUCUGAGCUUGCCGCGGCCCUCGAGAGUGUGAAAAGUGCCAAGGCGGAAGCCCAAAAGGCCCUCCAAGAGAUCAACACGGUGAAGAAGAUAGCGGCGGGUAAGGCUUUCUUUAUGCAAAGCAAGCAUGUAAAAGUAAAUUACCGAUUACUUACCCGGAUCCGGAGCUCUUCAGGAGCAUUUGCAGAUUUGCCCGGCGGUGUGUCCAAUGCUGCACAAUUUUACCAGGCCGAGGACGGAAGCUCGACGGAGAAGCUGUCCUGAUCUUAGUAUGCUGAGGCCGAACAUCCGGUGCCAAUGAGCGACCAGCUGAAGCAGAUGGUCGAGCUACAUAAGGCGGCCGAUCAGGCCAUGAAGGGCUUUAUAGUCUAGCUGUGGCCUGGCGACGCCCUUCCGAACAGCUUCUUUGGCCUUGUGAGGUAGCUUGUGGAUGUCUGCCCACGGCUGGAGGUCGUCAAGCGAUCCAUCUGCAUUGAAGGUGCACGCCGGGCUUUCGCCCGUGUGAAAUUGCAGUGGGUCAAGCUAGACGCCGUGAAGCUGAUCAAGGAGGGGCCGCCACCCCGAGAUGUACUAUGAGGGUGUUCUGCCGGGUGCCCGUCUUAUCGCGGAUGAGUGUUCAAAAGAUGUAAUAUUUGAGUAAACUCGCUCCUUUUAUCCUGUAUUUAUGAAAACAUGUUACAUAUGCGCUAUGCAAAGCUUGUUUGAAUUUAAAAUAUUACCUUAUGUUUGGCUGUUUAUCCAAUCAGAGAGAUGGCUAGUCCUCGGCUUCUUCCCCCAUGCCACGAGUGCUGGUGUGUUCGGGAUAAACCUGAGCACUCUUGUUCCCAUAUUUUGGUCCUUCGAGGGAUGUGCUCAGCACAACGAACAAGGCAACCAGACUAAUAAUGGUUUCACUCUCACUUAGCCAUAGAAUUCUAUAAUUUUAAAUUUCGGCGAAGCCCCUAGUAUUCGAAACGCCGAAUUCGGGGCGCGAUACACGCCUGUAAGCCGGACAGGGCCGGCCCCUCGCCCUAAGCAGCAUAAGUCUUUAGGGACUCGAAAAACCUCGCCGAACAGCGACCAGUCUCUUGCCUUAUCAUGACAGUCUGUUUUAGCUUUCUCUACUGAGGUGCUUAGCCCGGCAGAACCGGGGCACAAUCGCAGUAGUUCUCCUAGCGCUACCUUAGCCGAUAGAGCGGAACGUAAGGUACCAAAACAUAGGAGACGGGCAAACCCACCAUUUGAGCAAAGACAUGAUUUGGAGCUGAUGCAUAUAAUGCUAUAAGUUCGGGGUGCCGCACUUGUGAAAGUGUUCGGACUUUUCACACCGCAUUGUGGGGUACGUAAGCCCCUGGUGUAUUGGCCGUACAAGAGUGUACGGUUGCAAGGCGUCAUUAAUGAACACACACACACACACACAAUAUAUAUAUAUAUAUAUAUAUAUAUAUAUAUAAAACAAGAAUGCAAUAAUAGUCGUAAUGUCUUGCAUUGUUUAUUGAAAAAUUGUGUUAAAGCAGAAUGAUACAGAUAGUGCGAUAAGCAAAGAGUAGGACUAUGUCCCUUCCAGGGGCAAGCUGAGGAAUGAUAUGAAAUCGAAUAUUUCGCUCGUUACUGUAAUCAACCUGGGAAUUCCAUGGUAUAAUGUAGCUAUCUGCCUCCUUGGUUGCUGCAUCAUGUGUUCGGCAAUAGUGCUGCCGGACAGUAUUUCCGGAGAUUAAGGUCCUGAAAGAAAAAGAAAAAUGACAAAACGGGAAGCCCCUUGUGCUGUUUAGGCCACGUUUUGGGGCAUGCCGCAGUUGUGCCCCCCUCCCCACCUGUGCCCAUGGUAUUUUUAAUGCGUAAUUGUGUACGCACGACACGAAUAUCACCGUUGGGCUGGGAUUGGGGUGGCUGUCGUAUUGCUACGCGAGCUCAGAUCGCGCCAGGCGGUCUAUUUGCCGAUUGCCCCGAGCGCACUUGAAGGUGUCUGGGCUUUGAAACGCUGAACUGGUUGCUUGCCUUGAGAGGCUGCUUUGCGCUUCUGCUGCGAGGGCCUAGGUGUGCUCUUCUGUUCGGAGAGAGCACUUUGUGUUUCCAUUGACUGUAAUAACUCCGCGAGAUCCUGGCAUCUUGAGCUUGAGGUAUGCAUAAUGCGGUACCGCAUUGAAUCUAACGAAUGCGGUUCGCCCGAGCAGCGCGUGAUAACCACUGUGGAACGGGACUAUAUCAAAGAUUAACUCUUCGCUUCGGAAAUUAUCCAGGGAUCUGAAGACCACUUCCAGUGUAAUUGAGCCUGUGCAAUGGGCCUCUACACCUGGAAUGAUGCCCUUAAAGGUCGUUUUUGUGGGUUUGAUCCUUGAGGGGUCUAUACCCAUUUUGCGCACUGUGUCCUGAUAAAGCAGGUUCAGGCUGUUGCCGCCGUCCAUAAGGACUCGAGUGAGGUGAAAUCCGUCGAUGAUUGGGUCUAGGACCAGUGCGGCGAAUCCGUCAUGACGCAUACUAGUGCGGUGGUCCCUGCGAUCGAAGGUGGUCGGACAGGAGGAGCAAGGGUUGAACUUUGGGGCGACUGGCUCCAACGCAUAUACGUCCCUGAGCGCACGCUUCCGCUCCCUGUUGGGGAUGUGGGUUGCGUAUAUCAUGUUCACCGUCCGCACUUGCAGGGGAAAACUCUUCUGUCUUCCAGUGUGCAGCUGUCGGGGCUCAUCCUCGUCAUCGCUAUGCGGCCCCUUGUCCUUGUUUUCGGCAAUUAACUUGCCGGCCUGCUUGAACACCCAACAAUCCCGGUUGGUGUGAUUGGCUGGCUUGUUUGGGGUGCCGUGUAUUUGACAUGAGCGAUCGAGUAUACGGUCCAAGCUGGACGGGCCCGGCGUACUUUGUUUGAAUGGCUUUUUCCGCUGACCGGGUUUAGAGCCUUUGAAUCCGGCAUUGACUGUUGUAUCCUUAGUAUUUUCGCUGUUAAUGCGGCGCUUAUGCUUGUUGCGACGUGACCUGCUAUUGCCGUCCUUGGUAUCUGAGGUACCAUGGUUUUUUGAUAUGUUAUUACUGCGAGCCAGCCAGCUGUCUUCUCCCACACAAAAGCGGGUCAUGAGCGUCGUGAGGGCUGCCAUAGAUUUCGGCUUUUCCUGACCAAGGUGCCGGGCUAGCCACUCAUCUCGGAUGUUGUUCUUGAAAGCUGCUAAGGCCUCCGCAUCUGGACAGUCGACGAUUUGAUUUUUCUUUGUAAGGAACUGAGUCCAGAAUUGCCUGGCCGACUCUUCUGGCUGCAAAAUUAUGUGGCUCAAGUCAUCGGCGUUUGGUGGUCGCACAUAAGUGCCCUGAAAGUUGUCGAGGAAUGCGGCUUCCAAAUCUUCCCAACAGCUAAUGGAGUCCGCUGGCAAGCUGUUAAGCCAAUGCCGCGCUGGUCCUUUGAGCUUUAGUGGGAGGUAUUUGAUGGCGUGUAAGUCAUCGCCACAGGCCAUGUGGAUGUGGAGGAGGAAAUCCUCAGUCCAUACUGCGGGAUCUGUUGUGCUGUCGUAUGAUUUUAAUGUUUACAGGUUUGAAACCUUCUAGGAAUUGAUGUUCCAUUACUUUGUCUAUGAAGCAUAAGGGGUGUGCGGAGCCGUUGUAUUGGUCUAUAUCUCGACGCAGCUCGAAUGGGUCUUUCCCGCUGUGUUCGGCCCGGCCGGAUUUGCUUUUACUGUAUCCAGGGUGACAUUUGUCAUCUCGCAGAGUGGUGCGCCCUCGUGAUCCAUAGAUCGAUCUUGAAUGCUUUGCCUUGUCCUCCAAUAUGUCUCGCAGGUCUGGCGUAUCUCCCCAUGCCUUUUUAUUUGAAUGGCGUUGGGGUGGAGGCUGAGCUUUUGGCUGGAAUGCCUCUCUAUCGCGGCCACGAGGUGGCCGAUCAGCCGUAUCAUAUGCUUCUUCCUCUAGUCGGGGUAGUAACCUGCGCCUUGGGUAAAUCUUGGAGGGGCGCUCGAGUUUAUAUUCCUCGGCCGCGAAGCUUCAGUCCAUUUGUCAGCCAGCAGAUCUUGAUCGGCUUGAAGCUGCUGCUGCUUUUUCUUCAGGCUAUUUGCCGUGGACAUAAGCCGGCGCUUGAAGAACUCUUGUUCGACGGGAUCCUCUGGGACGGCGAAUUCAUUGUCUUCGAGGCUUUCCUCAUCUUCGGAGGGGGGGGGUGUAAUUGUCAUCCUCCUCCUCUCCAUCUGCCGCUCUCUCAGGAGAGCUGGCUCCUUCAUCCUCCUGCUCUAAAUCUUGCUGGAGGGGAUUGUUGUUGUCUUCGGCACUGUCUAGGGUAUUAUUAUCUCCUAUGCCGGUAUCACCACUUUUGCUUUGGCGGGACUUAGAGCGGCGCCGCUGACGUCGGCACUUGGGUUGCUUCUUGGAGGGGUCAUCCUCCGCUAUCUCGUCGCCAUUGCCUUCAUUGGGUGUAUCCACCAUGUAUAUGUCAUAUGACGAGGUGGCUUUGCAGUGCCCUAUAGGUGCUGGUUCAUGUUUGUCUCCUACAUCGUCAUCCAUACCAUCGAUGUCUUCGGAGUCGAAGUCGAGCAUGUUUGUUAAAUCAUCGAUAGUGGCUACGAAGUGGGUGGUGGGUGGGCAUCGAAUUUCUUCGUCGUCCGCAUCCCAAUCCUGUUGGCCAUAAUCCGGCGAGGGCUCUCCUGACAAAGAGAGAGACCUUAGUGAAUUUAGAAUGUCGCCGAAGGGAGAGUGCUGAAAGAUAUCCGCGGCAGUGAAUUCCAUGAUUGUCGUGGGGAAUGGGAGCACGAGCACCUAUGGGGCAGGAGGGCCCCUUCUUGUCCGGCAAGGGAGCGGAGGGCGCACGCAGAGCAGAUCGAGGCGAGAGAGCGUGCGGGGGAUUUUACCCAGCUUCAGAGCUCUCCGGAGAGAUAAAAAUCCUACUGCUGCUUUGUGUCUUGUAUUCUGUUCUUGCUCGAGAGAGCGGGCGUGGCGUCGAAUCAGCCGAACCCCCAAGCUGUGGAACCAAAAUUCCGAACCUCUAGGCUGUGGAACCAAAAUUCCGAACCUCUAGGCUAUGGAACCAAAAUUCCGAACCCCCUCUACGUGCGCAUGGGCCUCCUUUUUAUAGGCUAAAGGGGUCACCGACAGGUGGCAGCGUAGAAAGAGGGGUAGAAAGGUAAAAACGCGGGUUGGUACAACUACUACCAACAGUGUCCCCUACCUAACUCUGGCGGCAGGGGGACAAGGGCAUUUAAUGCCCGUCUGUGUCGCCUAAUAGUGCCGAAAGGGACCGCUAGGGACGCCACCGUUUGCCAUGAUGGUUAUCUUGCCAGUGUCUGCUUGCCACCUCGCACCGCCAUGCUGUACAGCUACCCGCCCCGUGCACCAGGAGCGAUCUUGUGGCGACACGUCGUCGGGUGUGCUGGAGCGUGGGUGCAGAGUGGCAGCCCUGCCGUGGCAAGCGCCUUGCCAUGGCCUUUAUCUUGUCGCACCAGCCAGCUCGCCGCUCGCCGGGCCUUGCCGGGACGCGCGGGGUGUUGCGGCAAGUUUCCUUGGAGUGCCUUAGCUAGCCUUCCCGGCAAGCUCCUCUUGCCGGGGCCUUUGUCCUUCUCGGCAAGCUCCUCUUGCCGGGGCCUUGUAUUCUUCCCGGCCAGCUUCUUUUGCCGGGGCCUUGGUUGGCCUUCCCGGCAAGCUCCUCUUGCCGGGGCCUUAGUUUGAGUACUUUGUUCUUGAAUGGCAUCAAAAUAGCCGCUGAGGAUCUUGGCGGACGCCCGGCAAGCCCUGCCGCGGGUCGCUGCGAUUGCCCGUGCACAAGUUCAGGAUACUAAGGUACCCCUACUUUAGUACACCGACAGGAGCCCCCGGGCCUGGGCCACACACGGUGCCGAGCGCUGUUGGGCCAGGCCCAAAACAGUGCACGGGCACGCGCGGCCUAGGUCACACCAAAUCUGACUCUGUACCCACCAUGCCCCCCUCGCGACGGCACGCGUCAAACGCGGCGUCGUGGGGGAGAUCGUGGGUAAUUUUUUAAUCUAGGGAAUGCAUAACGUCCGCCUCCCCUGUUUAUAAGCAGGGGAAACAGGGCCGUUCCCCCACCUUCGCCACUUGCAGUUCCUUCCUCCGAAAGCUCCGCCGCUCCCCUCCGCUUCCCAAGCCGAAAGAGAGCAGCGCUCCGCCGCCCACCGCCGCUGUCGCCGCCAUCGCCCUCGCCUUCCCCCACCGCUUCCGCCAUGGCUCCGAAGACCGGGAAGGCUGCGAAGGCUGCAAAGUCGGCCGAGGCGCUGCAGCUUGAGGCACUACGCAAGAAGCGAGUGCUUUUCCUCCCUGAGCUCACCUGGCAGGCCCUGCGGGAGGAGUUCUACCUCUUCUGGUCGACGGAGAUGCGGGCGCAUCCGCGCACGCAGGUGCUUUCCGCUGAGGCUUCCAAAUUGAAAAAGUGCCCCAGAGGUUACUACUUCUUUCCUGUGUUCUUCUAUUGCGGGCUCUGCCCGCAUUUUUGCGAUUUUUUCUGCGACAUCAUGAACACCUACGGGUUUCAUCUUCUCGAUUUCACCCCCAACGCCGUUCUGACAAUGGCGGUUUUCGCACACCUCUGUGAGAACUUUGUUGGCAUCCUCCCCAAUGUCGCUCUUUUUCGUCAUUAUUUCUCCCCCCGUGCCGAGAAAGGGGAGCCACUGGCCGGCGGAAUCGCCUGGACCACCCGGAUUGGCAUGAAGGAGGUGUACUUGACGGGCGAGCUCCGCAGCAAGUGGGACGAGUGGAGGGCGGAGUGGUGCUGGAUCUGUGAUGCCAAUCCGCAGCCGUUCACCAAGCUGCGCCAGACCCGGGUGGUGCGUGGCGGCGACUGGAGCGCUCUGUCGCCGGACGACGCCAAGCUGAAGAUUGCCACCACCCGAAUCCUCCGGCUCAGGCAUGCCGGGCUCACAGCAGGGGCGGUCGGCGCGGAUUUUCUUCGCCGUCGCAUCGCCCCUCUGCAAAAGAGGGGGAGGCUCGCCUGGCUGUUUGGCGGCCCGGGGGAUAUCAUGAGGCUGCGUCCAGGCCUCAACUUCAACUUCACCAUUCUGGAGCUUGACAGGAUGCUGAGGGAGCUGUUCAAGCAUGAUGCCAACCAUCCAGAAUGGUUCAGGUUGCCGCAGGGCGUCAUCCCCUUGUGCAACAACUCCCGGCGCGAUCGCAUCUGCGCAAUGAUGCCAGAGUGCGACUCGCACGGGAUAAGUGCAACUUGGAUAGAGCCCGCCGCCGAGGACGUGCAACGAUUCUUCGAUAAUUUGACGGAGGUAGAAGUCAACCCCGACGAGCAGAGGCUCCUCACCCGCGUCACCACCGACAACGCGAUGCUGUACAUCGCCACCAGGGCCGAAGAGGCAGCGGCAGCCGCUGCCGCGGGCGAGUAUGGCUUCACGUUGGCGGAGGCGGCCGAGGCGGCAAGUCUUGUCGACCGGGAAGACCUCGCCGGAGAAAUCGCUGGCGAGGGGGAGCCCGAGGUCGAAGUGAGCGAGCCCGCCAAGGGCGCGAGUGGCCAGCCGUCUUCGAGCAGCUUGCCGCAGACGGAGCCCCCAGCGCGGCCCCAAUUCCAACCGAGAAGACGCCUCCGUCGAGUUGGAGAUACGGCAGAGGAGCAGGCCGGCCAUCAACCGCGGCGCCGUGGGACACGCUCCACCGCGGCAAGCACCGCUGCCGCGGGAGGAUCCCAGGCCGCGCCGGCAACUGAGGUGGGGUCUUCCCGGGCCGCCACGCCUGAUCCUGCCGCAGCCCCCGGCAAACGCCGAAGGGAGCCUACUCCUCCGUCACACUGUGCAGAGAGGGUACCGGACUUCGACCUCUCCGCGCUGAGCUCCGAUGAUGAUGAAGAGGAGGAGGAGGAGGUGUGAGGCUUUCUUCUCACUGUUCUUGAUCUUCUUGGAUCCUUGUUAUCGUUUGUCUUGUAUCUAAUUUGCUUCCCUCUGAAUCCCUGUUCCAUUUCAGGACUCUGGCCGAGAGGGCGGCGAAAAGGGCCAGGAUUCCUGUGGUUGUCAUCGAGGACGAUCCUGCUGUGACUGCAAAAGACAUGUCCGAGACCACCUUGACGGACCCGAUUCCUCCUCCUCGCGGCAGCCCCCAGCACAGCCCCCAGCGUAAGUGUUUGGUUCACUUCCGGUUGUGGGGCGCGCAUGGGUGCUUUUUCUUUUGCUGGCAUCUUGAUUGUUAAUUUGCUCGUGUAGGAGCAGAGCAAGCCCGUCAGGAGGAACCAGAAGCCGCUCCAGAGGUGCUGUCUGCUUCAACUACGCCGCCAAGGGGUGACUUUCCGACAAGGGAGCGCUCUCCGGCAAGGGAGCGGUCCCCGGCAAGGGGCAGUUCCCCGGCGAGGGGCGGGACCAGCGAGCCUUUAGUGGUGGAGCCCACGGUCACAGAGCCCAGCACAGGUAACCUUCCUUGUCGGAAAUCUUCCCUUGGGUCCUUCUUCUGAUCUUCUUUUUUGGAUAUUUGCUUGACUCUUCCUUCCUCUUCCUAUCCUUAGAUCCCCCUCUCGUAGACCCAAUGGAGACCGAGGCCGCCGGCGAGGAAGGCGCACGCGGCAACACUGAAGAUGCCUCCGCUGGCGAGGAAGAGGCGGGUACUGAUGAUCCCGCCGAUGAGGAGGCCGCCAAGGCUGCUGGCGCAGGAGCCGGCGAGGGAUCCGGUGAUCACACUGACGACCCGGAGGACGCAGGAGCGCAAGGCGCUACACCGUCCGCCGACCCCUCCGCCGCUGAUGCAGCGCCGGGCUCCGAGGAGCCCCAGCCAAGCGCAUACUUGAAGGCCGGCGAGGGCGUCUUCAUCAAGCUUCCCUGGGUGUCGAGCUCCAGGGCGCCGGUGGAAGGAGAGGAAUUUGACGGGGAAGUACUCGCCUCUGCCAGGCUGGCAGUGGUUGACAAGCCAAGCAGCAGCAGCGGCGAGUCCGAGGAGGAGCAGCUGCUCCGAAAGCUGGUGUCGCUCUACCGCGCCCGGCAAGCAAAGCUUGAGUCCCGGGAAGCUCUUGUCGCGCGGGCGGGAGUUGACAUAGAAAAGCACGCGGAGGAGCUCAAGAGCCGCAACCAGGAGGCCCUCCGGUCCAUCGCUGAGGAGAGGGCGCAGCUCGAGGAGGCGAAGAAGGCGUUCCUCCUGGAGAAGGCUGAAGCCGAAGAGCAGCAGAGGCUCACCGCCGAGGAGCUGUCCAAGCGGGAUGGUGCGCUGAUACAGAAGAAGGUGAACUUGGAGAGCCACGAAGAGGAGCUCGCCGCCCGGGAGCAAUCGCUUGGCGGGGCACUCAAGGAGGCAAAGGAUGCCGCCGCGGCUGCUGAGGCCGCCAAGAAGGAAUUGGAGGUGAAGGCGACGCAGCUGGAGGCGGACGUGAAAAGGAAGAACGAAGAGCUUGCCGCACUCCAGCGCGAAGGCGAGAAUGAUGCGCGCGCCCAUGGCGAUCUGCAAGUUCAGCUGGCCGAGAAGAUCAAGGAGCUGAACGCUGCCAAGGACUCGAGCGCUGACCUAGAGCUGAAACUAGCUACCUUGUCGGAGACGCUGGACACCGGCAAGAAGUGAGAAGAUGACUUGAGGAUAGAUCUCAAGGGCAACGAAGAGCUGCUGACGAGGGCCGCCGAGGCUCAGAACACCUUCAAGGUCACGGUGGAGCUCUGGACGGAGAGCCUCGUCAACAUCGCUGCAUCCAUCGACGACGAGCUGGCGGAACUGGACUUGGCGGGCUUCGGGUACUCCACUGAUGAAAAUCUUCCGCCCAGCGCCAGGCUCACUCUUUUCUUCAAGGGCGUGGCGACGGCCCUCCAGCAACUCCGAGAAAGGAUCCCGAAGAAGCUGGCGGACGAGUCGCGCGCGAUCUGCGCCAAGGUCUUGGAGAAGGUGUUGGUGAAGAUACUCUUCCGCAACCCGGGCCUCGACCUCACCCGCGUCCUCAAGAAGCUGCCGGCGGGUGCCGAUCUUGAAGAACUCAAAGCCAUUGUCGCACCCAUCGUGGACAAAGGUGAAUGAGGUCAAGAGGGUUGACGGCGAGCGCGUGGAUUAGACCAUCUCUCUCCUCAUUUCCUUGUCGCCGUUUAUCUAAGUCAUGGGACAAUUUAGUCAGUGCCGCAACAAGUUACUUUUGUAAUAUAACUUUAUUCUAGGCAAUGAUUGCUAUGCUAUCUCCUUUACUUGGUCCUUUCUUUGUAUGUUCUUACCCUACGCUUUUGGGGAACUUGCCGGCACGGGCACGCUUGCCACGAGUGCUGAGUGCGGAACAUCAGCAGCUUGCUGGCGGUGCCGGAGCACGCUUGCCGUGGGCGCUGAGUGCAGGACAUCAGCAGCCUGCUGGCGGUGCCGGUUCUGGCAAGAAACCUUGCCGCAACUAGUUGCAGCGCACGUAAGUUGUUGAGCGGGCUCGAAAACAACGUAAGGGCGCUUAGCGGCUCACUUAAGUUGCUGAGCGGACUCGAAGCAAAGUAAGGGCGCUUAGCAGCUCACUUAAGUUGUUGAGCCGACUCGAAACGAAGUAAGGGCGCAACUAGCUACGAGGAGGUUCCUCCGCGCACAGGUUUUCCAUACAAAGCAGAAUCGUUCAAGGAGGAUAGCUUAAAAUUUUAAGAAAAUGAUCGUGCUCAAACUUUAGCAACUUAGCUUUUCUGUCGUCUGUGUCCCGGCAAGGCUGUACUUCUUUGAACGACGCUCGGUCCACACCUUCAUCCUCUCCUCCCCCCCCCCCCCGUGAACUUGUGGGCGAAGGGACCUUCUUUUUGAGAAAAAGGAAGAAGAGAAAAUAAUGGUACGGGGCCUUAAGGCUCGUUAUUUCUUACCAAGGAUGAGUGCUGCACAAAGUGUCAGGUAAAACAUGCAAGAAAGAAAGAAUGCAUGAAAUUCGACAAGAUGUGCGGAGCACAUGAACUUUAUUUAUGCACGGGAUCUGCGCCCGGCUUUGUACAAAGGGUUACAUGCAACAGCGGCAAGGCUUGUACAAAAGUUGGUUGCCGGAACGGAUUCCUGCAACCGCGCCUUAUGGGUAAAACUUGUGAAGAUGCUCUAUGUUCCAGGAAUUGCUCACCGGAAAGCCGUCUUCGGUCUCAAGGCGGACAACGCCGGGCCUAGUGACUCGUUUCACCCGAUAAGGGCCUUCCCACUUCGGCGUCAACUUGCUGGAAUUCUUGGCGGAUUGAACACGCCGAAGAACAAGGUCGCCUUCCUCGAAGCUUCUGGCUUUAACUUUGCGGCUAUGAUAGAGACGCAAAGCUUGCUGGUAGCGAGCAUCUCGCACAGCAGCCUGAAGACGAUCUUCCUCGAGGAGCAGCGCGUCAUCUUGGCGCAGCUGCUCUUGCUCAAGCUCAUCAUAAGCGAGCACUCGAGGUGAUCCGUAUACGAGUUCCAUGGGGAGAACUGCUUCUGCUCCGUAGACAAGAGCAAAAGGUGUCUGGCCAGUGGAUCGAUUUGGCGUCGUCCUGAUCGACCAAAGAACCAUCGGCAGCUCUUCGAUCCAAUUUCUUCCGCACUUGUGCAGCCUGUCGAAAGUUCUGGUCUUGAGCCCACGCAGCACUUCAGCGUUUGCCCUCUCCGCUUGACCGUUGCUUCUUGGAUGAGCAACAGAAGCGAAGCAGAUCUUGGUGCCAAGAUCUUGGACGUACUGCAUGAAGGUGCGGCUCGUGAAUUGUGUGCCAUUGUCGGUGAUGAUCCUGUUAGGGAUUCUGAAAUGGCAAACAAUUGACCUGAAGAACUUGACUGCUGACUGUGCUGUCACCUUCCUCACUGCCUCCACUUCCGGCCACUUUGUGAACUUGUCAAUUGCAACGUACAAGUACUCAAAGCCCCCGACAGCUCGGGGGAAGGGGCCGAGUAUAUCGAGCCCCCAGACCGAAAAUGGCCAGGAUAAAGGGAUUGUUUGGAGAGCUUGAGCUGGCUGAUGAAUCUGUUUGGAGUGGAACUGGCACGCUUCACACUUGGUUACUUGUGCAGUUGCAUACUGGAGGGCUGUCGGCCAGAAGAAACCUUGCCGGAAGGCUUUGCCGGCAAGUGCUCUUGCGCCAAUGUGGUGACCACAUAUGCCUCCAUGUAUCUUCGCCAACAGCUCCUGUCCAUCUUCCUGGGAAAUGCACUUCAAUUUCACUCAGUUGAAUCUUUUUCUGUACAGUAUGUCAUCGACAAACUGGUACAUACUUGAUUGCCGGGCUACUUUUUCCACUUCUUCCUGUUCCUCGGGAAGUUCUCCUGUCUGAAGGAAAUGGACGAUCUGCUGUGCCCAUGCCGGAGCUUGUGGCUCGACGACAAGGACUAAAGGCGCGAAUGCUGCUGCGGGAACAUCCGCUUCUACGGCAAGAAUAUGGGAUCUGCCGGAGCGUGAUGCUCCCCGGCAAGCGUGUCGGGACACAGCUUGUCGGGAGCGUCUGCUUCAACGAAACAAGCCCUGGGGCUUGUCGGAGCAGACUGCUCCUCAGCACUUUUUGCGUUGAUCCUGGGGACUUUCUUGGCGGCGGCUCCGGGGAGCUCUGCCGGAAAGUAGUCGCCGGCAACCAACUUUAUCUUCUUGUUCUGUCCAGUUGAUGGUGUCACAAAUGGCCGAGUCAGCUUGAGCACAAAAACCCCUGGUUCCACAGGCAACUUGAGUGCGGCGCACUUUGACAGUCCAUCUGAAAUGUCGUUCUGAGCUCUCGGGACAUGUUCCAUUUGCAGGCCGUCAAAAUGCUCUUCUAGCUUCCUCACUUCAUCAAUGUAGGCUUCCAUCAACGGACUCUGAUAAUCUUUGUUAACUUGGCGGACGACAAGCUGUGAGUCACCCCUGACAAUAAGCUUCUUGAUCCCAAGUUCUGCCGCGAUCCUAAGUCCGGCAAGCAAGCCUUCAUACUCUGCAGUAUUAUUUGUUGCUUGCUCCUUGGGAAAGUGCAUCUGGACCACGUACUUGAGAUGCUCUCCGGUGGGUGCGACAAGUAGUACGCCCGCACCGGCGCCUUGCAGCGAGAAGGCACCAUCGAAGUACAUGAUCCAUUCCUUGCUAGCUUCCUUGACGGGGAUGCUCCUCUCCGGAGUUCCUUCAUCAGGUGUUGGCGUCCAUUCUGCUAUGAAUUCUGCCAAUGCUCGGCUCUGGAUAAUUGAGGUACUCUCGAACUUAAGGCCAAAGCUUGACAAUUCCAGUGCCCACUCGACAAUCCUGCCCGUUGCCUCUGGAUUCUGCAAUAUCCUCUUCAACGGAAAGCGAGUGACCACUGUGAUCUCAUGUGCUUGAAAGUAAUGGCGCAGCUUCCUCAAGGCCAUUAGGAGGCCGAAAAGCAACUUCUGCACACCAUAGUACCUUGAUCUAGCCCCCUGCAGAAGGGAACUGACAAAGUAAACUGGGCGCUGCACCAUCUUCUUCUGUUUCUCUUCCUGUGGCUACGCAGACCCAUCCUUGCCGGAACCGGAACUUGCCGGAUCAGGGCUUGUCAGGCCAGUGCUUGUCGGAGAAGCCCCCUGCUUGUCGCUGCACUCGCUUGCUGCGGUCGCUGGCUCACCUUCUGCCUCCCUCUCCGCUACUAACGCAGCACUAACCACUUGAUUGGUUGCCGCAAGAUAUAGCAGCAACUUCUCUUGUGGCUUAGGUGCGACAAGUGUUGGAGUAGAGGAUAGGUAUCUCUUCAGGUCCUGCAGCGCAGCCUCUGCUUCCAGAGUCCAUUUCAUUGGACCUGCCUUUUUCAAAAUUUUGAAAAAUGGCAGGGCGCGCUCAGCAGACUUAGAGAUGAACCUACUGAGAGCAGCAACACAGCUGGCAAGCCUUCGCACAUCCUUGACGCGCUUUGGUGCUUCGAUUUGCUCAAUGGCCUUGAUCUUGUCGGGAUUAGCUUCAAUCCCCCUCUAGGACACAAAGAAUCCGAGAAGCUUGCCGGAAGGAACUCCAAACACACACUUCUCGGGAUUCAACUUGAGGUUGAUCCUGCGCAGAUUUGCAAAAGUCUAAUCAAAAUCUUGGAUCAAAGUCUCUUUGUCCUUGCUCUUGACCACUAUGUGUAAGCUUCUACAUUUCUGUGCAGCUUUGGCUCAAAAGCAUGACUGACUACUCUUGCAAAUGUUGAACCAGCAUUCUUUAGUCCGAAGGGCAUUCGUACAAAGAAGUACGUGCCACAUGGAGUAAUGAAUGCUGUUUUCUCUUCAUCCUCUUCUGCCAUGAAGAUCUGGUGAUAUCCUGAGUAUGCAUCAAGGAAUGAAAGCAGAUCACAUCCUGCUGUGGAGUCGACAAUCUGGUCAAUGCAUGGCAAGGGAAAUGGAUCCUUGGGACAAGCUUUAUUAACAUCAGUGAAGUCAAUACAAAGCCUCCACUUCCCGUUUGCCUUGUGCACGACUACUGGAUUGGCUAACCACGUUGGAUGGAGUACUCCUCGGACCAGGCCUGCUGCUUCCAACUUCUUGAUAUCCUCUGCAAUGAAUUCUUGACGCUCUACUACUUGCUUCCUAACUCUCUGCUUGACGGGCCGCGCGUGAGGACAGACGGCAAGGUGGUGCUCAAUUACUUUCCUGGGAACACCGGGGAUGUCAGAUGGUUGCCAUGCAAACACAUCGACAUUCGCCCGCAGGAAAGCAACGAGCGCACUUUCCUAUUUAGGAUCAAGCGCGGCACUGAUGGUGAAGGUGCCACCAGUGCCGUCCUCCUUGGCGGCCACUUUCUUGGUCUCUGGUGAAGCUGUCUUUGCCUUCUUGCGCUUGCCAGUGGAGCUCGAUGGUGCGUCCUCGACAGUAGCGCAUCACUCCGAAGAGGUGCGCUUGCCGGAGUAGGCAUCAGAGCUACUCUUGCCAGUCUUGGUCUUCUUCUUCCCCCCGGGAGCUUCAGCGGCAAGUGGUUUGCGUUCUGCUGCGGCUGCUACUUCCCGGUAGAUCUUGUCGGUACAGAUGAGUGCAUCCUUCUUGUCGCCUUGGACAGAAAUGACACUUAUCGGACCAGGCAUCUUGAGCACAUUAUAGGCAUAGUGAGAGGCUGCCAUGAACUUAGUGAGCGCUGGACGGCCAAGUAUCCCAUUGUAGGGCAAUGGGAAAUCAGCAACGUCAAAUGUGACUCUUUCUAUCCUGAAAUUCAGCUCGCUGCCAAAUGUCACUGGCAGUGUGAUCUUCCCCUUCGGCUUGCUCCUUCCCGGGUUUAUUCCUUGAAAGGUACCAGUCUCUUCGAGCUCGCUGUCGGGGAUCUGGAGCUUCUUGAGCACUGCAGAGGAGAUCAGAUUCAGGCCGGCCCCGCCGUCAACCAACAUCUUCGUGACCCUGAGGUUGCGGAUUGUUGGCGAAACCAACAUCGGCAAGCACCCGACCGCAGUGAUGCGAUCAGGGUGAUCUUCAAUGUCGAAGAUGAUGGGCGCGCUGGACCAUUUCAGGGGCUUGCGCGACUCAACGGACGGUUCUGCUGCAUUCACUUCCCGCAUCCAUUGUUUGAGUUGGCGGUGCGAGGUGUGGAGAGAAGCACUGCCGUCGAUGCACAACACCUCUGUCGCCUUCUGGAACUCCUGCUCGUCAGUCUCAUCUUCCUCAUCUUCGUCUUCAUCUUUGUCGCGGCCGCGGGGAGGCCUGUCUCCUUGGUGCGGCUUGGCCUUGCCGCGGCGCCCUCCCCGGGCUGGAUACUUCUUGCCGGAUCCUCCGCCACCUUGCCGGGCCUUCUCCUUGUCGCGGCGCUCGUAUUCAGCUUUCUGUAGCUCCGCCAUCUGCUCAACUUUCUUGCAGGCUUGGAGGUCAUGGCCCUUGGUGCGGUGGAUCUUGCAAUACUGCUUGCCGGAGCCAUCCUGCUUGUCGGCGGCCACCACAGCCUCGCCGGUGCCACCAGCUCUAGCCUUCUCGGAACCGCCUCCGCUGCCGGAUUGCUCAACAACUAGCACAUGCUUAGACUUUCUCUUUCUGUUAUUCCGCCUCCGGUUCCUGUUUGCCGGAGGGGCGUCUUCACUGUCAGAUCCUUCUGCUCCUGCAUUCUCUCCGGGGAGUCUCCUCCCCUCUUCAGCCCGUGCACACUUGUCGGCCAGGGCAUAUAGCUCGCUGACAUCUCUAAUUUUGCACAUCGCCAUCUCCUCCCUCAUCCUGCGGUUACGCACGUUCUGAUGGAAAGCGCUGAUAACUGCGGCAGGGUGGACGUCUAGGAUGUUGCGCUGCACCUGAUUGAAUCUCUGUAUAUACUUGCGCAGGGGUUCUCCUUCCUUCUGGGAGAGCAGGUGAAGAUCACUCUCCUGGCCAUGGGGUUUGUGGCCGCCCGUGAAAGCGCCAACAAACUGAUGGCAUAGGUCCGCCCACGAAGAGAUGGAGUUGUCCGGCAAGUGCAUGAGCCAAGAUCUGACGUUGGGCUUGAGUACCAGCGGGAAGUAGUUGGAGAGGAUCUUCUCGUUGCGCCCUCCGGCAGCCUGCACCGCGAUGGUGUAGACGCUGAGGAACUCUGACGGGUGUAUUCUGCCAUCGUACUUCUCGGGCACGUCUGGCUUGAAGUUCUUGGUACUGGGCCACUGGACCUGCCGCAGCUCACGGGUGAACGUAGGGCAACCUGCCGCGUACGACAAGCCGCCUGGUUCCCCUGGUGCAUGCAUGUCGACUGUGGGCCCAGCGCGCCGGUCAGAUUGACGUCGCGCUUCUCUUCGACGCUCGAUGCGAGUGCGAGCGUCUUUGUGUCGUCGUUCUAGGAGAACUUGGCGUUGAUCGCGGCGAGCUCGCGGGUCUGACGACGCGGUGGAGUCGGUGUCGAGGUUGGCCCGGCGAGUCGGCGAUCUUGGCCUUCGGGGCGGGGAGUGUGCAGUGGUGGCCACCCCCAGCGGUCUUGUCGGCAUCGGCUUGCGCCUGGGCGUCUUGCCGGGGCUUCGAUGUGCUCGGUCGCCGGGGCUUGUCGCCGUUGGCGAAGCCAAUGAGGCUAUAAAUGGCGGCCCUCCAGUCGUCGAUCUUGUCCGGCGCUGGAGGGUAAUCUAGAAGCAGCUGGGCUCGGGCCAGCACUUCCUCUGGAGUCUUGGGUGGCGGUGGCGAGCGACGCGAGGUGCGAGACAUGCUCAAACUUCUAACAGUGUUAGAAGGAGUAACAUCUCGCCCAGGCGACCGCACUGCGCUCGCGCCAGCGUGUUGACGUGCAUGUUGGCCUUGAGCGUCCCGCGACCCACCAUCUCGGCCUUGUUCCAACGCGAGUACGGUGCUAGGAGCAUCGUGGCGUUGUCGAUCCUGCACCUCCUGGGAGGGGUGUGGUGGAUAUGCAGAAGCUGAACCUUGCGGGGCCUUGUCUUUGGACCGGGUGACUAUGCGCGUCCCCCCGCCAGCGCCCGCCCCUCCGCCGCGUCCGCCCCACCGCCCGUUUGCUCCGGUGGCGGUAGAGAAGUCGCAGACGGAGCGGCCACCUCCGAAGUCUUCUUUUUUGGUGGCAUGUCGACGAAGAUGUUGAUGUAGCGCGCGUAGACGCCGGAUCAGAUACGCACGACCUCGACGCCCCCCUACCUAGCGCGCUAGAGAUGUCGUGGGGAAUGGGAGCACGAGCACCUAUGGGGCAGGAGGGCCCCUUCUUGUCCGGCAAGGGAGCGGAGGGCGCACGCAGAGCAGAUCGAGGCGAGAGAGCGUGCGGGGGAUUUUACCCAGCUUCGGAGCUCUCCAGAGAGAUAAAACUCCUACUGUUGCUUUGUGUCUUGUAUUCUGUUCUUGCUCGAGAGAGCGGGCGUGGCGUCGAAUCAGCCGAACCCCCAAGCUGUGGAACCAAAAUUCCGAACCUCUAGGCUGUGGAACCAAAAUUCCGAACCUCUAGGCUGUGGAACCAAAAUUCCGAACCCCCUCUACGUGCGCAUGGGCCUCCUUUUUAUAGGCUAAAGGGGUCACCGACAGGUGGCAGCGUAGAAAGAGGGGUAGAAAGGUAAAAACGCGGGUUGGUACAACUACUACCAACAGUGUCCCCUACCUAACUCUGGCGGCAGGGGGACAAGGGCAUUUAAUGCCCUUCUGUGUCGCCUAAACAGUGCCGAAAGGGACCGCUAGGGACGCCACCAUUUGCCACGAUGGUUAUCUUGCCAGCGUCUCCUUGCCACCUCGCACCGCCAUGCUGUACAGCUACCCGCCCCGUGCACCAGGAGCGAUCUUGUGGCGACACGUCGUCGGGUGUGCUGGAGCGUGGGUGCAGAGUGGCAGCCCUGCCGCGGCAAGCGCCUUGCCGCGGCCUUUAUCUUGUCGCACCAGCCAGCUCGCCGCUCGCCGGGCCUUGCCGGGACGCGCGGGGCGUUGCGGCAAGUUUCCUUGGAGUGCCUUAGCUGGCCUUCCCGGCAAGCUCCUCUUGCCGGGGCCUUUGUCCUUCUCGGCAAGCUCCUCUUGCUGGGGCCUUGUAUUCUUCCCGGCCAGCUUCUUUUGCCAGGGCCUUGGUUGGCCUUCCCGGCAAGCUCCUCUUGCCGAGGCCUUAGUUUGAGUACUUUGUUCUUGAAUGGCAUCAAAAUAGCCGCUGAGGAUCUUGGCGGACGCCCGGCAAGCCCUGCCGCGGGUCGCUGCGACUGCCCGUGCACAAGUUCGGGAUACUAAGGUACCCCUACUUUAGUACACCGACAAUGAUCGGCGCCCAAUCGGAUUCGAUUGGCAGGGGCGCGGAUGGUUCAGAGUCCGGAAGAGAGUCCGGCACCUUGGAGUCACGGGCUGCGCAGAGGAUUAUGAUGGUGUUUGGCUCGAUCACCGUCGAGACUGCAGCCCCUGAGGCGGUGUCUAGCCACCCAUCCUCGAUUGGCGCAGUUGGCUCCGAGCUAAGGGUUGGAGCUGACGCGGGAGCGGCCUCUGGGUACUGUUCGACGGCAGAGCUAGGUCAUACCCAUCGCGACAGAGCGGCGCGCCCGGCUGUGGCUCGAAUCCGUCGAAGAUCAAGUCUCUGCGGGUGUCGGCCGUGUAGUUCAAACUUCCAAAUCUGACCUGGUGGCUAGGGGCGUAGCUUUCAAUCUGCUCUUGAUGGCCAAGCGAAUUAGCCCGCAGUGCAAAGCCGCCGAGUACGACGAUCUGUCCGGCGAGAAAAGUCUCACCCUGGACCGCAUUGCUAUCGAUGAUAGUAGGAGCCAUCAAGCCUGACGGCGAUGACAUAGAGGAACUCUCAAUGAAAGCACCAAUGUCGGUGUCAAAACUGGCGGAUCUCGGGUAGGGGGUCCCGAACUGUGCGUCUAGGCCAGAUGGUAACAGGCGGCAGGGAACACGAUGUUUUACCCAGGUUCGUGCCCUCUUGAUGGAGGUAAAACCCUACGUCCUGCUUGAUUAAUAUUGAUGAGAUGGGUAGUACAAGAGUAGAUCUACCACGAAAUGAGAGAGGCUAAACCCUAGAAGCUAGCCUACGGUACGAUUGUAUGUUGUGGUUGUUGUCCUACGGACUAAGACCCUUUGGUUUAUAUAGACACCGGAGAGGGUUAGGGUUACACAAGGUUGGUUACAAAGGAGGAGAUAUCCAUAUCCGUACUUCCUAGCUUGCCUUCCAUGCCAAGUAGAGUCCCAUCCAGACACGAGACGAAGUAUUCAUUCUUGUAUCUUCAUAGUCUAACAGUCCGGCCAAUGGAUAUAGUCCGGCUUUCCGGAGACCCCCUAAUCCAGGACUCCCUCAGUGGCGGCUAUGGAAAUUAGAUGGGAAAUGGCGGUGGCUAGGGAUUAUUUGGACGAUGAAGAUUGAGGUUUUGGCGAUGCUCUGUUGCUAUUAUGGGAUUGAGCCCUUCAUGGUAUAUAUUUGUAGGGUUGGUCCAGGAGACCUUUAGCAGUCCAUAUGAUAGCUCAUCCGAGCGUGUGCGAUCGUAUGGAACAUCGUCUUGCUUUGUUCUUCCUGGAGUAUCUCCCACUUGAUCUCCUCCAUAUCCUCUUUACUCCCUUCCAUGUAUUGGCUUGAUUUCCUCCAUAUUUAACCCAUUUCCUAUGGAAAUAAAAUAAAGAUCGGACAUUUGUAAUCCUUUGCAUUGAUUAGUCAUUUGUAGUAAUAUCAGAGUGAAUAUCUUGGUUUUUAAGAAAUAUAUCGGUUUAUGCUCAUGUAUCACGAGUGCAAGAACAACAAUUGUCAACUGCACCGAGCUUAGACUUGAUCAUCCUCGACCAACGUAGAGGAAAAUCUAAAACGUAAGGAACUCAGUUGUUUACACCAAAUAAAUGAUUAGGUUUUGCUUCACUUAUGAUCAGCACACCUAGAUAACCCUACACUUCUUGACUUCUAAACUUAGUAUAGGUAUACCGGUGACAUGGUUAUUAUGCAAGUGUUAGAGAAGCAAAGAUAAUCAACACAAAGAUCUUGCUCAACUAGACAAAAUAACAAAGUAACACCUGAUUCUAUUUUUUCUACUGAACACUUGCUUUCCAGGAAUGCACGAAGGUGAUUGCAUUUCUUGAGCAAUGAAAGCAUGUAUUAGGGAGUGAAAGUUAUGCAAAGACAACAUCAUUCUAGAGUAACUCUAACUCACCCACAAGUGUCUCAUCAUCAAGGCUCUCAUGAACUUUAUUUAAAUCAUUGCUUGUUGAAUCUUUUGUUGUCUAGUGAUGGGAUGCCAAUGAAAGGAUCAAAAAUAAGGUUUUGUUGUGCUUUAAGUUCGAGUAAUAUGAACAAAUAUGUUGCGACUACGUACGGUAACAUACUCAUAGCCUAAAUCGAAGUCGAAACUCUAGUGGAUCGUUCAUUGUCUAGUGGAGUUCUCAGCAUUACAUCAAGAAAGGUGACAUUCACAUUUACACGCCUACACGUGCAUGGAGUAGUAAGACCAUUACACCAGCGUGAAGCUGAAGUGCCAUGUACGAAUAUAGCAAAGGUUUUUGGCAUAAUAUCAUUCACCUUUCAACUAAGUUUCUUUGGAAAAUUUUAUCCACAAGGGCUAUAGAGUCUAUUAAAAUUGACGGUAUGGGGUUAGGUAUCUCUAACAACAUCUUCUCUAAAAGUAUUUUCAACACCCAAGUCUUGUGAGACUUUCUGUUGUGCAUGGUUAUUCUUUGUUAACAUAUCAAUUUAUUUUAAUAGCCUGAUUUUCAUGGAUUACUUUCGAAAGUUACAAAUACAUAUUUUUUUCUCUAAGUUUUGGAAAGUUGUUGCUCUGGUGCCCUGAGCCAUUCAAUGUUCGUAUUAUUAUAUGAAAUUUAAUGUGCAUGGAAACGACCUCUAAAACGUAACUUUGGCCCAUAAUAUUUUUGUUUUGUAAGGAUACAAGUCAAUAUGGCAAUUAGGUUAUACCAAAACUAGGAAGAAACCAUUAAUACAAAAAAUGUUAAAGGGGCAAGAAUCAUUGUGCAUUCGCUCCUCUUUAUAAACACCGGUGUUAGAAAUAUACGUUCAGAGAAGGAAAACAUCAAGAGAAAAUAAACACCGGUGCUGGAAAGAUACGUUCAGAGAAGGACAACAUCAAGAGAAAGUAAGUAAUAGCAAGGGAGUCUUGAUGAUGGCACUUAUCAAGAACAAGACACGCAUUCUCUUUUGUGUUGCUCUUUUGUUGACAUGUACGACUUUUUUGUGUGGCCUAGCGGUAGCGGGGAGGGACGUAGGUAAUUUCCAAAUUAGUUUCCUAGAUGAGUUUCUUGAUAUAAAAUAGACCCAAAUGAUUAUGUAUCAUUCUUUCCAUACAUAUUAAUUUGUAUGUUGUGGUGCUUCCUUCACUAUGUUUAGGUACCAAGGCUGCAUCUGGAAUCCAAUGUUUUACUUACUCAGUGUGCAUGGACUCAUAUUAGUAUGCCGUUGAUUACUGCAACAAGGAGUGCAAAAUACUUGGUUAUGACGGCCAGAAAGGCUACUGCAAGAAGGAGAAUCGUGGCGUGUGUUGUUGUGCCUAAAGUUAAAGACAUGUUAUAUUGUCAUUUUGUAGAAAAUCAUUACAUGUAUUUGCGUUUUAGGAUACUAAUUUAUAUAGAUUAUACGAGAAUUUCAAUAACAUAUACUGGUAGUUGCUUCCGAAGACCAACUUGACUAGCCGAUCAACUCUUCAGGUCAUAUGAAUCAACAAUGAGCCAGCUAAAAACUGGAAGUACUGAUAACUUAAAAAUUUAAAUUGGGGAGUGAAUUAAUGGAAAUAUUAGAUAAAUUCAUUGGGUAUAUGAAAAUUUGUCAUUCAACGAUGCUAGUUAAUACCAAUUGAUGGAUGUACAACUCAAAAAAAGUCCAUAUUUGAACCCUAGACUAUCACAAAUGUCUAAGAACCAACCCCAAACUUUGAAACAAUCUAUCUUGCAAUUCUAAAUUGUCAAAGUCGAUCAACAUUCGACGUUUCCUCUCCUCAAACCGAUAUUUGGUGCGUUGAAGUGGUUUGGAACAAUUGAUCGCCUAGUCGGCUGCCAUGUCACUUAAUAUUUUUCCUGAAUAUGUAUUUUAUUGCAUGUUAUAAUCUAUUUGGCGGGAUCGACCCUAUAGUUGAUGUAACAUCCCAAAAUUCUAAAUUUUGGAAUGUUAUAAUAAAUAGAUUGAUUGAUUGAUUGUUUGAUUGAUUGUGUGAAAUUGAGUGGAAUUCGAAACUUUUGAAAGUUAAAUGAGAGGGAAUAAAAGGACUUUCCCAAACUUUCAUAUUUACUUUCUGAUCUCCUUGAAUUCAAAUUAUUUUCAAAUACAAAACCCUUGAGCGAAGAUGAUAUGACUUCUUCCAUUUAAAUUAAAUGAAAGGGUAUUUGAAAAUAAUUGUAUUUCAUUUGGAAAAUAUUUCCAAUUCAGAAACUUUAAGGAACUCAAUAUUUUCACGAGAGAAGAUAAAAUGACUUCUUCAAAUUAUAUGAAAUAUGAGUUGGGAGUUUCAAAGAAUUAAAUUCAAAGUUCUUUUGAAUUUAUUUUCAAUUUGGAGUUAUUUGAGUUUUAUUCAAAUUAUUUUUCUCCAAAAAACUAAAAUAUAUGGAAAAUAGGGUAACAUGAUUCCCUACAUCAGAAAAUUGGAGAUAAAUAAAUUUGAAUUCAUUUUGGUAUUUUUAAAAUGAUUUUUGUUGGAUUUUAAUAGACCAGUAGCACUCUUUGAAUUAUUAGAAUUUGUGUGUAUUUUAUUUAAUGCUAGAAAAAUGGCCAUGUUGUUGGAAAUCUUUUUCUGAAAAUUUUGAUAUAUUAUUUGCCUAUAUAAAAUUUUUAUUUAUUCUCUUUUGUUUAUUUUUCUUUGUCUGUUAAAAUGUAAAAAAAAUCUCCUCCGCCACCGAACUGGGCCGGCCCAACAGGCCAUGGCCCAGCCAGCCCGCGCCGCCACCGCCUAGCUCCCGCCGUGCCCGACAGGGACUCGCUGGAGUCCGGCCCCUCCACGGCGCCCGUCGCCCCUCCUCCACGCCACCACCUCCCCUCCCCUCUUAUAAAGCCGCGCCGCCCCUCUCCCCUCGCGCCGCCGCCUCCUCCCGCAGUCGCCGCCGUCGUGGUCAACCGCCGCCACCGCUCGCAUCUAGCGCCACCGCCGCCCAACACCCUCGCCACCACUCGCCGCUGCUGCAGCAGCUGCUGCUGCUGCCGCCGCUUACGCCGUCGCCUUGCCCCGCGCCGCCCGACGCGGCGCAAGUGGCUCCCGCACCACGCCGAAGCCACCGCGCCGCCAUCCCGUCUCGCCGGAGUAACCACCGCCGUCGCCGGUUCUUUUGGGUGAACCGGUAUAAACUGUAACCCGCCCGGUUUUUUUUUCUAGUUUAGAUCGGUUAUUUUUUUUGGGUUAAGUUAUUUUGCGAACAUUCACUGGUUAGGUAUACUCAGCAAACGACUUUUGUUCUUUAGCGUUCUUUAACGAACGUUCACUUUUUAGUUUUUUUCUUUUUCUGAUAUUUUUCAGACAGGGACCUAUUGGUAGUAUUUUCUUUUACAGAUUAGUCCCUCUACUUCAAACGUCUACAACUUUUUACUCGUUAGUCCAAAUCCAACGAAACCAACACUCACGUCUUCGUUAUGAUCCCCUCUAUCCAUUAAACCAACUCAAACAUGUUUUUGAAAAUUUUAAUAUUUGAAUUAGAUUAGAUUUGAAUUCAAACUUCGUUUGAUCAUAGCUUGAGUUCCGUAGCUCCGUUUGAGUUGAUUCUUUUUGCAAAUCGAAGCUCUUGACCUAAAUUUUCUGAUAAGGCCAAAUUCAUAUAAUUUUGGUACUGUUAGAAAUUGUUUUAUGUUGCAAGAGUUAUUUGCUUGGAUUUGAUAUUUUCCGAAUCGUUUUCUUUGAUAUUUCUGAUCUUUUGAGUGAUUGCUUAUGUGUGGUUACUAUUGCUUGCUUACGAUAGAUUGACCGGAGUGUGACGAGUAGAGCUAUCAAGAGUUUUGAGUGCGAUUCAUCUUCAUCAACAUUGCAGGCAAGUUCACACUUUGAUCAUACCUCCUACUACCCAGUUUUAUUGCAUUAGAUCAAUCCUCAAACAUUGCAUGAUUAGGAUCUAAUUAAAUUGUGGGAUGGGAAGUAGUUGAGGUAGUACAUAUUACCUGUUUGUUAUCAAACCCAUGGGAGUUACUAUUAUGUUAUGCUUAUAGUGCCAUGCUAUGCUCGUAGACGUGGAUUGGGUUUUGAGAGUAUCCAUGACAGAUGUGAGAUUGUUAAUUAAUGGUUUACUUAAGGUGGCAACUUAAACACACAUCUGGGUGGACUGAGGCACCUGGUUAUUCUAGGAUUGCCUGUCUAGGCACCUGGGUAAUCCAGGACUUGCCUGUUUUCUUUUGGACCGCCACCCAGGCUCAAAGGGAUCAUGAGACUAUUCAUACUAGAAACUUCCGUGUGCAGCCACAAGCUAUUAUGGGCUCUAGCAUAGUUGACUAAGUUGUGCGAACUCUUACAGUGGUAGACUAGCAGAUGUAGGGAAUGUAGGUGGUAUGGUCUACCCGAUCGUAAGGUGCUAGCGCUUCUGAAAGACUAUGUCUCGGUCAUCCGUUUCUCAAACACCAUGUAGUGCGAGAAAUCCAACGGAGGCGAUCGAGUCUUGUGGGGAAAAGUGCGCAAACCUCUGCAGAGUGUAUAAACUAAACAUGAUUAGCCGUGUCCCCAGUUAUGGACAUCUUGAGUAUCUAGUUCUUGGAUUAUCUUGUUGAUCUCAUCAUGUUACUUUAAUUGGGAUUGAGAAUGCUGUCAACCAUUCUCAAUGUUCAACAACCACCAUGAUAGUUAAAUAAAUUUAUUCCUUUGCAGUAGGGAAAAAUUGGCUUUUCGCAAAACCUUAUAACCAUAGAGCUUUUCCACCAGCCAUAUAUGCAUGUAGUGAUAGCCUUUAUUCAUCAUUCUCUAUGGUGUGAAUUUGCCAGUACAUUCAAUGUACUCACCCUCUGUGGCUGCAACGUCUCAUGUUGCAGGAUUACUUACGACGAGUAAGUGAUACGUUAGGGUUACGAUUUCUACACUCAACUUUUCCGUUGGUGUUGAUGGGAAUCCACAACCUUGUUACUUCCGCUAUUUUGGAUUGAGGUAAUAGUAUUUACGUUACUUAUACAUGUGAUUUACCACUGUUAUAAAUCCUCGAGUACUAUGUGUCAGCAUACCGAUCCAGGGAUGACGCUUAAGCACAGAGACUUGAUCCAUUCGGGUCGGGUCGCUAUAGUUGAGAAAUAAUCAGAUAAUAGCAAUGGGCAUUCAAUGGCUACAACUCUUAUAUCCCAAAGAUAUAGGAUCCGGGCUACCAUACUAAACUUUUCUGUCACUAGUAUUCAGAAUAGCACUUCAUGGUCUACCUGCUGUUAGCCUCUCUCUGACUCACUCUCUGUGAUCCUAGGUACCUGCAAGGACGAAGAAUGUAGAUGAGACAAGAGACAUCCAUGAAGCAAUUUUAUGUUACACAUACGGGACAAAUUCAAAGUACUUUCAUAAAUCCCUCCAAUAAAUACAUAGGGUUGUAGGGCUAUGCCUCAACCCAUGACGAUACCUUAGAUAUGGAGAACAGAUCACAAGUACAAUCCAUCAAAGAACACAUCAUGAAUAUUGAUUGAUAAUAUGUCUUACAAAAAUUGCCGGAUGUGAUAUAUGAUUACAAAGUAUGGCUAGUUGGAUGAUUGCUUGGUGGGUGGAGAUGGUGGCGGCUAUGGAAAUGAGAUGGGAAAUGGCGGUGUCUAGGGAUAAUUUGGAUGAUGAAGAUUGAGGUUUGGGCGAUGCUGUAUUUCUAUUAUGGGAUUGAGCCCUUCAUGGUAUAUAUUUGUAGGGUUGGUCCAAGAGACCUUUAGCAGUCCAUAUGUUAGCUCAUACGAGUGUGUGCGGUCGUAUGGAACAUCAUCUUGCUUUGUUCUUCCUGGAGUGUCUCCCACUUGAUCUCCUCUAUAUCCUCUUUACUCCCUUCCAUGUGUUGGCUUGAUUUCCUCCAUAUUUAACCCAUUUCCUAUGGAAAUAAAAUAAAGAUCGGACAUUUGGAAUCCUUUGCAUUGAUUAGUCGUUUGUAGUAAUAUCAGAGUGAACAUCUUGGUUUUUAAGAAAUAUAUCGGUUUAUGCUCAUGUAUCACGAGUGCAAGAACAACAAUUGUCAACUGCACCGAGCUUAGACUUGAUCAUCCUCGACCAACGUAGAGGAAAAUCUAAAACGUAAGGAACUCAGUUGUUUACACCAAAUAAACAAUUAGGUUUUGCUUCACUUAUGAUCAGCACACCUAGAUAACCCUACACUUCUUGACUUCUAAACUUAGUAUAGGUAUAGCGGUGACAUGGUUAUAAUGCAAGUGUUAGCGAAGCAAAGAUUGUAGCGACCCGACGUCAGAUGGUCAAGUCUCUGUGCUUCAGUGUCAUCCCUGGAUCGCUAAUGCUGACACAAACAGUACUCGAAGGAUUUAUAACAGAGUAGCAAUCACACACUAUUACAUCGAAUCUCUCCAAAGAGAACUUAUUACAAUAAUAUGGCUUAAGGCCAUCUAAUGCGAUAACAGCGGAAGGCUUGGAAGAUAAGGUGAGUCCAUCAACUCCAACUCAUCGUCUGAAAAGUCUGCAACAUAAUACGUUGCAGCCCGAAAAUGGGUCAGCACAUGGAAUAUGCUGGCAAUAUAACACAAUAGAGCAGAAACAGAAUAAUGCUAUGGCUACCUGCAUAUAUGGCUGGUGGAACGUUGUAUGGUUGUAGUUUUGCGAAAAGCCAAAUUUUCCCUACAACAACGGAAUAUAUUUUAACUUUACUAUCAUGGUGGUUGAAACAUCAUUGAGAAGGUAUCCCCAACUCAAUCCCAAUUAAAGUGAAUUAACAUCCCAAUAGUAUUAAUUAAACAUGGUGAGAUACAUGUGAUAACCCAAGUACUAGAUACUCAAGAAUUGUCCAUAGCCGGGGACACGGCUAACCAUGAUUAGAUUGUACACUUUGCAGAGGUUUGCACACUUUUCCCCACAAGACUCGAUCGCCUCCGUUGGAUUUCUCGCACUACAUGGUGUUUGAGAAACGGAUGACCGAGACACAGUCUUUCAGAAACGUUAACUCUCUACUCCGGGUAGACCAUACCAAACCUACAAAACCCACUACCUGCUGAUCUACCUCUUCAAGAGCUUCACGUAACUUACUUAACUAUGCUAGAGCCCAUAAUAGCUUGUGGCUGCACACGGAAGUUUCUAGCAUGAAUCAUCUCAGUUCCCUUUGAGCCUGGGUGGCGGUCCAUAGGAAGAUCACACGGGUACCCUAGGAUUUCCAAAAAAACAGACAACACUGGGUUCCCCAGGUGCCUCAAUCCACCCAGUUGUUUGAUUAAGUUGCCACCUUAAGUUGAACCAUUAAUUAACAAUCUCACAUCUGACAUGAAUUUCACUUAAACCAAAACCACAUCUACGAGCAUAGCAUAGCAAUAUAAGAAAUACAUAGAAGUAACUCCCAAGGGUUUGAAUAUAAUAGGGCAAUAGGUUCUACCUCAGCAACUACUUCCCAACCCACAAGUUAAUGACAUCCUAAUCAUGCAAUGUUUGAAGAUUGGAACUAAUGUAUAAAAACUGGGUAAUAAUGCGAUAUGAUGAAAGUGUUACUUGCCUUGCUGACGAUCCGCGAGUCCUAGAGACUCGUAGUAACACGCUUCAAACUAUCGCAAGCAAACAAUAACAUACAUAAGUAACAAGCAAUGAUGCACAAAAAAAACUCAAAUAAAAGAGGUUGACCAGAAAGUUCAAAUUAAGAACUCCGGUUCGCAAAAAGAAUCAAAACAAACGGAGCAAUGAAACUCAAAUGGCGAAAGAAAGAAGCUUAGUUUACUAAUCUGAAACUAGGUCAAAUUUUACAUUAGCAAAACUUCUUUGAGUUGGUUAAACGGAAAGAGGGUUUCGAGAAGAAACUCCAGGCGCUUGAAUCGCCUGAUUCCGUUAAACGAGCGAAAAGAUAAACAGAAACUAAGAUCGGAUUAGAAAGCACGAUCAGAAAAAUCGCGGAAUAAAUCUGAUAAAAGAAAACUCACGAACAGACUAAUGAAUGAGCGUUCGUUACCUGUAACUAACGGGCGAAAACUGUUCGUUAAGACGAACAUCCGCUAACUGGAAGAACCGAGAAAAACCGGCGAAUCCAAAAAACAACGGAUCUAGGGAUUCUGAAAAAAAUAGAAUGGUUUUUAUUUAAAAAAACCGGCGGUGGGGCGCGGUGGCUACCUCCGGCGAGAGGGCUCCGGCGAGGCGGGGCAACGGCUCGCGAGGGCGGCGGGGCUUGGCGGCGGCGGCUGCGCGAGGAGGCGGCGGCUGCGGGCGGCAGGGUUGGCGGCGGUGGUGUUGGUGUUGGGGCGGGGGUGGCGGCGUAUAUAAAGGGGCGGGGGCGGCGACUUGGAGGAGGGGGCAAGGUGCGACGGCUGCGAAGUCCAACUCGGACUCCGAUCCGAGUGGCGGCGGCGGCGGCAGCGCGCGCGCAGGAGCCGGCCUGGCGCAGCUGGGCCUUAGGCCCGGUCGGCGUGGAACCCCUUUUUUUUAAACUUCGCCGACCGAAAUAAAAUCCUAGAAAAAAAACCUAAAAAUUCCAAAACAAUUUUUCACCAUCUAAAUAAAAUAUUUAGAACAAGAUGAACAUUUUCUUGGCCCUAAAAUGCAAUUUUGAAAAACAUGCAAUUUUUCUAAUGCAAAUAAAAUCUGAAUAAAAUCCAAUAAAAAUCAAUUUAAUGAUUUUAAUAUUUUUCCUACAAUAUUUCAUUUAUUUUGGAGAAGUCAUAUUAUCUCCUCUCUUUAAUUUUUAAUGUGAAAUAUUUUUCAGAGAGAAAUAAUUAAAAUCAAAUCCUCUUUUCAUUAUUUGAUAAAAGAAUCAAAUAUGAAGACCGGGAAAUCCCCAACUCUCUCCGAGGGUCCUUGAGCUGCUUAGGAUUUCGAGGAUUACGGAACGGAAAUGCAAUAAUACAUGAUAUGCAUGGAUGAUCUAUGUAUAACAUUCCAAAUUGAAAAUUUGGGAUGUUACAAACCUGCCCCCCUUAAGAUGAAUCUCACCCUCGAGAUUCGGGUUGGCUAGAAAAUAGGUAUGGGCGGUCCUUGCGGAGAUCAUCCUCUCGUUCCCAGGUAGCUUCAUCCUCGGGAUGGUGGCUCCACUGAACUUUACAAAACUUGAUAACCUUACUGCGGGUGACUCUGCUGGCAAUCUCAAGAAUCUUAACUCGCUUCUCCUCGUAAGUCAAAUCACUGUCUAACUGAAUCGCCUCCAAGGGUACUGUAUCUCUUAAUGGUAUUUCCGCCAUCUCAGCAUGAUACUUCUUCAACUGUGAAACGUGGAACACAUCGUGGACUCCUGACAAUCCCUCAGGUAACUCCAACUUGUAGGUGACUUCUCCCAUCCGUUCCAAAAUGCGAUACGGUCCUACAAAUCUCGGGGCUAACUUUCCUUUAACUCUAAAACGUUUCACUCCUCGCAAGGGCGAUACUCACAGAUAUGCUCUAUCUCCAAUUUCGUAGGUUACCUCCUUGCGUUUUGAGUCUGCGUAACUCUUCUGCCUGGACUGAGCAAUCUUCAGUCACUCUUGGAUCAGUUUUACCUUCUCCUCAGAUUCUUUAAUCAAGUCUGGUCCAAACAACUGUCGGCCUCCUACCUCAUCCCACAUCAACGGUGUUCCGCACCUGCGUCCAUACAGGGCUUCAAACAGUGCCAUCUUGAAGCUGGCUUGGUAGCUAUUAUUGUAUGAGAACUCUGCAUACGGCAAAUUGUCAUCCCAACUGGAUCCAUAAUCCAGCGCAGAGGCUCUCAACAUGUCCUCCAAAAUUUGAUUGACUCUCUCAAUCUGUCCAUCUGUCUGCGGGUGAAACGCUGUACCGAACUCCAAUCUCGUUCCCAAAGUCUGGUGUAACCGAUGCCAAAACUUUGAAGUAAACUGUGUUCCUCGAUCCGAUACAAUGGUCCUCGGAACUCCAUGCAAACAUACGAUCCUGGACAUAUAGAUCUUGGCCAACUUUGCACUUGUAUAGGUGGUUUUCACUGGGAUGAAGUGAGCUACUUUGGUCAAACGAUCAACUACUACCCAUAUGGAAUCAUAUCCUGCUUUAGUCCUGGGUAAUCUGGUGAUAAAGUCCAUGGCAAGUUUAUCCCACUUCCAUUCGGGUAUCGGCAUAGGCUGUAACAGUCCUGCUGGCUUUUGAUGUUCAGCCUUAACUCUCUGACAUACAUCACAUACGGCUACAUAGUCGGCAAUAUCCUUCUGCAUACCAGUCCACCAGGAACUUUCCUUCAAAUCCAAAUACAUCUUGGUGUUUCCGGGGUGUAUCGAGUAUGGUGAGUCAUGGGCCUCUUGAAGUAUUAACUUCCUGAUCUCCUGGUUGUUGGGCACAUAAACUCGGUCCUCAAACCAUAGGGUAUCGUGCUCAUCCUCACAAAAACCUUUGGCCUUUCCUUUGCCCAUCUUCUCCUUUAUCCCGACAAUCUCUUUAUCAUCUUUCUGAGCUUCCCGAAUCUUGUCUAGUAGUGUCGACUGAACCUCCAUUGUGGCAAUGAACCUUCUAGGUACAAUCUCUAACCGAAGUUCCAUGAUGUCCUUUGCUAAUUCCUUCGGCAGUCCUUUACUUUCAAGGGUAUUAGCAUAACUCUUCCGACUCAAUGCAUCUGCUAAGACAUUGGCCUUUCCUGGAUGAUAGUGUAGCUUCAUGUCAUAAUCCUUUAUAAGCUCCAACCAUCUCCUCUGCCUAUGGUUCAGCUCCUUCUGAGUGAAGAUGUACUUCAAACUCUUGUGAUCCGUGUACACAUCACAACGGUUUCCAAUAAGGUAAUGUCUCCAAGUCUUCAAUGCAUGCACUACGGCUGCUAGCUCCAAAUCAUGCGUGGCAUAAUUCAACUCAUGAGGUUUUAGUUGUCGUGAGGCAUACGAAACAACUCUUCCAUCCUGCAUAAGCACACAUCCAAGUCCUAAGCGAGAGGCGUCGCAAUACACUUGGAACUCCUUAUGUAUAUCUGGCAGUACUAGCACUGGGGCUGUAUUCAAACGUUUCUUCAACUGCUGGAAACUUGCUUCACAAUCUUCUGUCCAUUUAAACUUGGUAUCAUUCUUCAACAGUUAAGUCAUUGGUUUUGCAAUCUUGGAAAAAUUCUCAAUGAAUCUCCGGUAGUAUCCUGCGAGUCCAAGAAAACUACAGAUCUCGCUAACUGAGGUGGGUGCCAACCAUUCAGUGACUGACUGAACCUUGCUAGGGUCUACUGCUAUACCUUCUCCUGAUAUAACAUGUCGAAGGAAUCCAACUUCCUUCAGCCAAAACUCGCAUUUUCUAAACUUAGCAUACAACUGGUGUUCCCUGAGCUUCUCGAGAACUAAACGAAAAUUCUCUUUGUGCUCCUCCUCGUUCUUCGAGUAUACCAUGAUAUCAUCAAUAAACACCACAACAAACUUGUCCAAAUACUCCAUGAACACCUUGUUCAUCAUGCUCAUGAAAUAGGCAGGGGCGUUAGUCAGUCCAAACGACAUGACCGUGUACUCGUAUAAUCCAUAUCGCGUUGUGAACGCCGUCUUUGGUAUGUCCUUCUCUCGUAUCUUCAACUGAUGAUACCCCGGUCACAAAUUGAUCUUCGAAAACACUUUAGCUCCUUGCAACUGAUUAAACAGAUCGUUGGUCAUCGACAGUGGGUACUUGUUCUUAAUCGUCACUUCAUUCAAUGCUCGAUAAUCAACAACCAUCCUCAGGGAUUUAUCCUUCUUCUCAACCAAAAGUACUGGGGCUCCCCAAGGUGAUGAACUUCUUCGGAUAUAUCCUUUCUCCAAUAACUCCUUGAUCUGUUUCUUAAUUUCUUCCAGUCAUUUGCGGGCAUCCGAUAGGGUCUCUUGGAUAUUGGUCCUGUUCCUGGUAACAACUCUGUCAAAAACUCAAUAUCUCUGUCUGGUGGCAUGCCUGGUAACUCCUUUGGGAAAACAUCCGGGUAAUCCUUCACUACAGGCAUUUCCUCCUGAACAACUCCCGUAAGGGCAUUCACUGGACUCUUCCUAGGCACAUGCCUAGAUACAUACUUAAUCCUUCUUCCUUCCGGGGUGGUGAGAUAAAUCGACUUACUAGCGCAGUCAAUGCUUCCUCCAAACUUUGACAUCCAGUCCAUACCCAAUAUCACAUCCAAUCCUUGUGACUCCAGAUAAUUAGGUCGGACAGAAAAACAUGUGUACCAAUGGUUAAGGGUAUCUGGUCACACCAUCGGCUAGCCAUAUACUCUGCUCCGGGUGAACUCACUAAGAGAGGGGUCCUAAGGGUUUGGCUUUGUAGUUUAAACUUAUCCACGAAUCCCCUUGAUAUGUAUGAAUGCGAUGCACCAAUAUCGAAAAGAACAAGAGCGGUAAAUGACUUAACCAAAAACUUACCUAUUACCGCGUUCGGCUGCUCUUCAACCUCCUCCACAUUAACAUGGUUCACUUGUCCUUUGUUGAAUGGAUUGGGCUUCUUCCCAGUGCUUCCAUUUCUGUUUCCAUUCCUUCCUUCGGGGCAAUCGUUGGCAUAGUGCCCUGUCUUCCCGCACUUAAAACAGGUAACCUGACUUAAGUCUCUUUUAGCGGGAGUGGACGGGUUGGAGCAGUUCUGAUUGUUGUUAUCUCCGUUCCCAUUCCCAUUCUUAGCACCACUAUGGUUAUGUGAUCCUCCUCCAGUGUGGUUGUGACCUCCAUGGUUGUGAACAAGUCCUCCCGUGUUCGGGGUUAGGCGAGGCUUCUGCUGAGCUCCUGAGUUAUACUUCCCUUGUCCAUACUUUCUCUUGCGGCUCUCAAUCUGUUUCUGUUUCCCUUAAAUCAUAAGAGCCUUAUCUACCAACUCAUGGUAGUUGUUGAAGGUUGCUACCAUCAACUGCAUGCUCAUCUCAUCAUUCAUCCCUUCCAUAAACUUCUCCUGCUUCGCGGCAUCUGUGGCCACAUCAUCAGGGGCGUAGCAACAUAACUUGCUAAACUCAUCCACGUACUGAGCCACAGUACGGUUCCCCUGGCAUAAGUUGCGGAACUCCCGCUUCUUCAUUUGCAUAGCUCCAGUGGAGACAUGGGCUGUGCAGAAAGCUUGCUGAAACUGGUCCUAAGUGACAUUGGCUAUAGGAAAAGUGGCUGUGUAAUUCUCCCACCAUGAGGCUGCUGGUCCAUCCAAUUGAUGUGCGGCAAAGCGCACCUUCUCAGCAUCUGUGCAACCUGCGGUGUUCAACUCCCUUCAAAUUCGGCGUAGCCAAUCAUCAGCAACUAUAGGCUCGAUGCUACUGGAAAACAGAAGCGGUUGUAACCUUGGAAUCCACUGGCGGUGGGUUGUUGUUGUUGUUUUUGUUGUUGUUGUUGUUGUUGUUGUUGUUGUUGCCCUGGUUCUAAACUAGCAAUUGCAUCAAGGCAUUCUACGCUGGAUCAACUGGGUGAGCUCCGGUGGGAAGGCAAAACCGGUGUCACGUCUCGGAGGCAUCUGAGGGGUUUAGAUGGGAGAGAUUUAGAAUAGAAGAGGUCUAAUGAGAAAACACUACCCAUAUGCACAUGAGGCAAACACAAUCAUUUCACUCAAUCAAUCAAGCAAGGGCAUACAAACGGUCUAGAACUAUCGCAAAAGUGCUCACUACUACUAUACACAUGGGGGAAAUACUACUAAUAUAUGGUAGUCAUCUAGAAAUUUUGAUCGGUGGAAGACUCCAUGAUGUCUGCUCCAGCUUCGUCUUCAAAGUCAUCAUCACUAGGGUUGGAGUCGGUGUCGUCGAUGAUGAUGUAGUCCUCGGGGCGUAUUUACUUGGGUUCUUCUUCUUCUUCUAUUGGUGCUGGUCCUCCCAUGAAUACUUUGAUCUUCUUGACUAAGUCGUCAUUCUUCUCCAGUAGGGUCUUGAUUUCCUCCUCAUAUCCAUCGCGGGUAAACUUGAGUUCUUCCUCCUGCUCGAUGAUCCUAGUCCUCGCCUUCUUCAAGUCCAUCAUGUCCGCACACAUCUAGUUCUCCUGACGUCGAAUGUGCUGGUUUAAUUCCUGGAUGAAAGCUGCAAUGGAUCUAUCCUUCCUGGUGUUGAUUACUUCCCAUUGCUCAUCUCGGCGCCCACAUAUUUGGUAAAUAGUGUACUUAAGCUCCUUGUUGUAAACUUCUCCAAUGCGUCCCAUGGUUAUGUGAGCUGCCAUACUCUUUCAUAAACACCAGGUUGGUGCGUCGAAGGAAAAUUCUAUGGGUUUAGAAGUUGGCGAGAAUGUCCUUCCUGGAACUUGUACUUGAAUCAUCCAGUGCUCCUCUUCAGGUAAAGUGGUGUUGUACGUCCGGUGAAGCUUGGUAUUCCAAUGUUCAAGUACCUAGUGACUUCCUUCAAGUGGCGUCCAAAAGGUGUGUCUUCAUCCGGUUGUGCAAAUUUGUUCUUCAUCUCCGUCAUCCUAAAGAGUAGAAAAUGGAGAGGAGUCAGAAAUGAGAAGAGAAGUGUGACCUAGGGUUUAUCUUAGGGGUCGUGUCCUACACUCAACAUGUGCUCUGAUACCAUCUUGUAGCGACCCGACCUCAGAUGGUCAAGUCUCUGUGCUUCAGUGUCAUCCCUGGAUCGGUAAUGCUGACACACACAAUACUCGAAGGAUUUAUAACAGAGUAGAAAUCACACACUAUUACAUCAAAUGUCUCCAAGGAGAACUUAUUACAAUAAUAUGGCUUAAGGCCAUCUAAUGCGAUAACAGUGGAAGGCUUGGAAGAUAAGGUGAGUCCAUCAACUCCAACGGCAUAGCUGAGCUGCACGGCAACGACCUAACGAACCUUACUCCUCGUCUGAAAAGUCUGCAACAUAAUACGUUGCAGCCCGAAAACGGGUCAGCACAUGGAAUUUGCUAGCAAUAUAACACAGUAGAGCAGAAACAGAAUAAUGCUAUCACUACAUGCAUAUAUGGUUGUAGUUUUGCGAAAAGCCAAUUUUUCCCUACAACAACGGAAUAGAUUUUAAUUUUACUAUCAUGGUGGUUGAAACAUCAUUGAGAAGGUAUCCCCAACUCAAUCCCAAUUAAAGUGAAUUAACAUCCCAACAGUAUUAAUUAAGCAUGGUGAGAUACAUGUGAUAACCCAAGUACUAGAUACUCAAGAAUUGUCCAUAACCGGGGACACGGCUAACCAUGAUUAGAUUGUACACUCUGCAGAGGUUUGCGCACUUUUCCCCACAAGACUCGAUCGCCUCCGUUGGAUUACUCACACUACAUGGUGUUUGAGAAACGGAUGACCGAGACACAGUCUUUCAGAAAUGUUAACUCUCUACUCCGGGUAGACCAUACCAAACCUACAAAACCCACUACCUGCUGAUCUACCUCUUCAAGAGCUUCACGUAACUUACUCAACUAUGCUAGAGCCCACAAUAGCUUGUGGCUGCACACGGAAGUUUCUAGCAUGAAUCAUCUCAGUUCCCUUUGAGCCUGGGUGGCGGUCCAUUGGAAGAUCACACGGGUACCCCAGGAUUUCCAAAAAAACAGACAACACUGGGUUCCCCAGGUGCCUCAAUCCACCCAGUUGUUUGAUUAGUUGCCACCUUAAGUUGAACCAUUAAUUAACAAUCUCACAUCUGACAUGAAUUUCACUUAAACCCAAACCACGUCUACGAGCAUAGCAUAGCAAUAUAAGCAAUACGUAGAAGUAACUCCCAAGGGUUUGAAUAUAACAGGGCAAUAGGUUCUACCUCAGCAACUACUUCCUAACCCACAAGUUAAUGACAUCCUAAUCAUGCAAUGUUUGAGGAUUGGAGCUAAUGCAUAAAAACUGGGUAGUAAUGGGACAUGAUCAAGGUGUUACUUGCCUUGCUGACGGUCCGUGAAUCCUGGAGACUCGUAGUUACACGCUUCGCACUCCGGGAAUUCUAUCGCAAGCAAACAAUAACAUACAUAAGUAGCAAGCAACGAUGCACAAGCAAAACCCAAAUAAAAGAGGUUGACCAGAAAGUUCAAAUUAAGAACUCCGGUUCGCAAAAAGAAUCAAAACAAACGGAGCAACGAAACUCAAACAGCGAAAGAAAGAAGCUUCGUUUACUAAUCUGAAAAUAGGUCAAAUUUUACAGUAGCAAAACUUGUUUGAGUUGGUUAAACGGAAAGAGGGUUUCAAGACGAAACUCCAGGCGCUUGAAUCGCUAUGAUUCCGUUAAACGAGCGAAAAGAUAAACAGAAACUAAGAUCGGAUUAGAAAUCACGAUCAGAAAAAUCGCGGAAUAAAUCCGAUAAAAGAAAACUCACGAAUAGACUAACGAACGAGCGUUCGUUAGCUGUAACUAAUGGGCGAAAACCGUUCGUUAAAAUGAACAUACGGACGAACGUCCGCUAACUGGAAGAACCGAGAAAAACCGGCGAAUCCGAAAAAAAUGAAUCUAGGGUUUCUGAAAAAACCGAACGAUUUUUAUAAAAAAAACGGCGGCGGGGCGCGGUGGCUACCUCCGGCGAGAGGGCUCCGGUGAGGCGGGGCAGCGGCUCAUGAGGGCGGCGGGGCUUGGCGGCAGCGGGGGGGCUUGGCGGCUAGCGCGGGCGGCGGCGACUGCGAGCGGCAGGGUUGGCGGCGGCGGUGCUGGUGUUGGGGCGGGGGUGGCGGCGUAUAUAAAGGGGCGGGGGCGGUGACUUGGAGGAGGGGGCAAGGCACGGCGGCUGCGGAGUCCAACUCGGACUCCGGUCUGAGUGGCCGCGGCGGCGGCAACACGGGCACGCAGGAGGCGGCGACGGCGGCCUAGCGCGGCUGGGCCAUAGGCCCAGUCGGCGCGGAACCCCUUUUUUUAAAACAUCGCCGACCGAAAUAAAAUCCUAGAAAAAAAUAAAGAAAAAACUAAAAAAGCCAAAACAAUUUUUCGCCGUCUAAAUAAAACUUUUAGAACAAGAUGAACAUUUUCUUGGCCCUAAAAUGCAAUUUUGCAAAACAUGCAAUUUUUCUAAUGCAAAUAAAAUCCGAAUAAAAUUCAAUAAAAAUCAAUUUAAUGAUUUUAAUAUUUUUCCUCAAAUAUUUCAUUUAUUUUGGAGAAGUCAUAUUAUCUCCUCUCUUUAAUUUUUCAUGUGAAAUAUUUUUCAAAGAGAAAUAAUUAAAAUCAAAUCCUCUUUUCAUUAUGAAGACCGGGAAAUCCCCAACUCUCUCCGAGGGUCCUUGAGCUGCUUAGGAUUUCGAGGAUUAUGGAACGGAAAAGCAAUAAAAGAUGAUAUGCAUGGAUGAUAUAUGUAUAACAUUCCAAAUUGAAAAUUUGGGAUGUUACAAAGAUAAUAAACACAAAGCUCUUGCUCAACUAGACAAAAUAACAAGUAACACCUGAUUCUAUUUUUGCUACUGAACACUUGCUUGCCGGGAAUGCACGAAGGUGAUUGCAUUUCUUGAGCAAUGAAAGCAUGUAUUAGGGAGUGAAAGUUAUGCAAAGACAACAUCAUUCUAGAGUAACUCUAACUCACCCACAAGUGUCUCAUCAUCAAGGCUCUCAUGAACUUUAUUUAAAUCAUUGCUUGUUGAAUCUUUUGGUGUCUAGUGAUGGGAUGCCAAUGAAAGGAUCAAAAAUAAGGUUUUGUUGUGCUUUAAGUUUGAGUAAUAUGAACAAAUAUGUUGCGACUACGUACGCUAACAUACUCACAGCCGAAAUCGGAGUCGACACUCUAGUGGAUCGUUCAUUGUCUAGUGGAGUUCUCAGCAUUACAUUAAGAAAGGUGAAAUUCACAUUUACAUGCCUACACGUGCAUGGAGUAGUAAGACCAUUACACCAGCGUGAAGCUGAAUUGCCAUGUACGAAUAUAGCAAAGGUUUUUGGCAUAAUAUCAUCCACCUUUCAACUAAGUUUCUUUGGAAAAAAUUUAUCCACAAGGGCUAUAGAGUCUAUUAAAAUUGACACUAUGGGGUUAGGUAUCUCUAACAACAUCUUCGAUAAAAGUAUUUUCAACACCCAAGUCUUGUGAGACUUUCUGUUGUGCAUGGUUAUUCUUUGUUAACAUAUCAAUUUAUUUUAAUAGCCUGAUUUUCAUGGAUUAAUUCAGAAAGUUACAAAUACAUAUUUUUUUCUCCGGUGCCCUGAGCCAUUCAAUGUUCGUAUUAUUAUAUGAAAUUUAAUGUGCAUGGAAAUGACCUCUAAAAUGUAACUUUGGCCCAUAAUAUUUUUGUUAUGUAAGGAUACAAGUCAAUAUGGCAAUUAGAUUAUACCAAAACUAGGAAGAAACCAUUAAUACGAAAAAUGUUAAAGGGGCAAGAAUCAUUGUGCAUUCGCAACUCUUUAUAAACACCGGUGCUAGAAAUAUACGUUCAGAGAAGGAAAACAUCAAGAGAAAAUAAACACCGGUGCUGGAAAGAUACGUUCAGAGAAGGACAACAUCAAGAGAAAAUAAGUAAUAGCAAGGCAGUCUUGAUGAUGGCACUUAUCAAGAACAAGACACGCAUUCUCUUUUGUGUUGCUCUUUUGUUGACGCGUACCACUUUUCUGUGUGGCCUAGCAGCAGCGGGGAGGGACGUCGGUAAUUUCCAAAUUAGUUUCCUAGAUGAGUUUCUUGAUAUAAAACAAACCCACAUGAUUACGUAUCAUUCUUUCCAUACAUAUUAAUUUGUAUGUUGUGGUGCUUCCUUCAUUGUGUUUAGGUACCAAGGCUGCAUUUGGAAUCCAAUGUUUUACUUACUCAGUGUUCAUGGACUCAUAUCAGUAUGCCAUUGAUUGCUGCAAGAAGGAGUGCAAAAUACUUGGUUAUGACGGCCAGAAAGGCUUCUGCAAGAAGGUGAAUCAUGGCGUGUGUUGUUGUGCCUAAAGCUAAAGACAUGUUAUAUUGUCAUUUUGUAGAAAAUCAUUGCAUGUAUUUGCCUUUCAGGAUACUAAUUUAUAUGGAUUAUACGAGAAUUUCAAUAACAUAUGCUGGUAGUUGCUUCCGAA
rnacentral:lncRNA from 1 species